rnacentral:lncRNA from 1 species
UGAGAGAGGCUUGUAACUCCAGAAAUCUAAGAAAUAAAACCUCAAAUUAUUCCCAACCUUGAUAUUGUUGAGGUCUGCUGUUUGUCCUUGCAAAUCUUGUUUUUCUGUUGUACUAAUUUUGUCCGUGCAAUUCCUUGGCUAUAAUGGGGUUUUCGUGAUGGAAAAUCAUGUCUAAAUUCAUAUGCAUCCAUCCCUAGCCUUAAAUCCGGUUGUUGUUCAAUUUAUUCAUGGGUUCCUGAGGAUGGCGCAAGAUUUUAUCUUUUGGUGAUUUAUUUUGUGCGAGUUCAUACUGAGUUCUUCCUCUAAUCUGGUUUCGAUUUGGGGUCGCUGUAUUUCUAGCAAAUUUCUUGGUGUUCUCCGUCGAACGGAAGAGCAUCCGCGGAUGCUACUGGCUCGCUCCCUUUUAUAUUUCUGCUUGGUGUAAUUGUCUCGGGUUUCAGUUCAUCUUCAGCUAUUUGUCGUUCAUCUUCAGGAUAGCAGAGUUGGCCAGCCCAAAUCGGUAGAACUAAAAUCGUGGGUUUCAGUUUGUUGCUAGUCUUGCUGCUGUAUGCGCUAUAGGUGACUAGAGUUUCUGACAAGUAAUAUCAGCUCCAGGCAGUGUAGUUCUUCUCCAUUGAAACAAUAUUCUGCUAGUACGUGCAAGUGGAAAAACCGUUGGCUGAAGCUUGUGAGUUGUCCACGGACGGACUGUGACUCUCCCCUCCUCCCCUCGCGUCGCCCCUGCUAGGGCGACUCGGGGGCCCCAAACCCUAGCUCCGCCGCCUCCCCUUUCGUCUCCCCUCCUCCUCGCCGCCGCCUGAGGCCGCCGCCGGGCAAGCCCGGGGUGUCGCCGAGGAAGGUGGCGGCGGGGCCCUGGCGCCCCUGCCUCUGCUGCGGGGGGCCGUGCUCCCUAGGGCGGCGGCCCUGGUCGGAGUGGCGUCACCGGCCCGGCGGCAGGCGGUGGCGCGGGCGUGGGCCGACGUUCCUGGCCGUGUGGAUGGCGGGUGCCCCGGUGGACGGGAGCCCUGGUGGCUCGCGGUGGCGCCAGAUCUGGCCGCCCCUGCCCCCCCUGUUUCGAGAGCUCCGCCCCGGCCAGAUCUGCCCGGCUUCUUCGCGGGCCGUCGGAUCUUGCGUCGUGGGGUGGUGGAGGCGAGGAUUCGCAGACCGGGAGAAAUUCCAGGCCGGCCUCGUCGGUAUUGGCGGCGGCGACGCUCGUGGCGCCGUUCCCCUCCCUGGAGGCGCCGUUCAGGUCAGAUCCGUCGCCCCCCAUGCCUCUAGUCUCCCCGGUGAAAACCUCAACUCUGUUGGGCGGCGGCGGCGCCCUCGGCGUCGCGUCCUUCCUGAAGGCGCCGUUUUUGGGAGCUAGGUGGGCAGUGGGCUCCUCGGCGAAGUGGUGGGUGCGCAGCGGCGGCAGUAGCUGGUCUUCUUUGUCGGCGGCGAGUUCGCCAGCGGCUCAACGCCUAUAGGGACACUAUGCUACUGCUCCUUCGUCCGUUACGUUCCGGCAGCUCUUCCUCAUCCGUGUCCAGUCCGUGGGUGUUGGGUGGUGCUCUGCUCCUUGAGAUCAUUCCGUGGCUAGUCGGGUGAGCUAGGUCCAUUUCCAAAUGCAGCCUGCCGGUGUCUUUCCUCCCAGGUUCUAGGGUGAACUGCUACACUGUCAACGGUUCGGCGCCUUCGAGCCAGGCAAGGAGACAGGGGUCUUCUUUGACAGUGGAGCUGGGGGGACAUGGCAAUCCGGGGCCGCUGGUGAUUUGGCGACGGCGUGCCCUUCCUCGCCGUCCGUAAUGCUGCUCCUGUGCUGACAUUCUCCUUCUCCCUGGUGAUUUGUAUGCGAUUGAGGACCUACACAUACCCGAGCUGCGUGUCUCCUUGUUCGAUCCUUUAGCUGGGUGUGUGUGAGGCUUGUGUGCUGUUGUCCAGCGCCUCUGUAUCUUGUCAUUUUUUUUCGCUUUCUUGUGUUGGUUUCGAGUUUGUAAUCCUGGCCGGUUGAUGGCUUUGUUAAUUCAAAGCCGGGCUCUUCUGGAGCCUUCGUUCUAAAAAAAGUACGUGCAAGUUAAGUACUAGUGUUUUCUGCCAGUACGUGUUACUAGUUUGGGUUAAGUAGUAUGUCCCAUUUAAUUACCCUAAGCUUGCCGUGUAAUGUCCUUGUCUAAUCAAGCACUAGUAUUUAUUUCCAGUACACUUUUCCAGUGUUUCUUAUUCUAUGGGAUCUCAAGCCAAGCCUUGAGAAUUAGUUGGACUAGCUUCAGUCUGUUUUGACAGGCAGAUUUUGUUUCCGCUGCAUAUUCCGCUAUUCCGAGCAUCUUAGUUUUUCCAUAACUAUGGUGCAGAAUAUUUAGGAGGUUAAAUUUUUCGAGGUCGUCAUUCAACCCCCCUUCUGACUCCCGGCAUCCGAUCCUACAAUUGGUAUCAGAGCCCGGUUGGCUCAUCUGUAGCCUUAACCAGCUUUUGAGCCAUGGAGUCAUUUGCGAACCCGUCGCGUUCUCCGCUGUUCUCUGGGAGUGACUGGCCGUUUGGAAGUCUCGGAUGAAAACAUUUCUUGAAGCUCAAAGCUAUGCAAUAUGGCAAAUUGUUGUGCGAGAUUUUGCAAUACCUGCUCUCGUGUUGGUCCUGAGAAUAUAGUUGAUGUUGAAAAUAAUUCCAAAGCUAUUAACAUUCUCUUGUCAGGUUUGGAUAGGAGAGAGCAUGAGCGUGUUGCACACCUAGACAUAGCCCACAAAAUUUGGUCCACUCUCAUCACUUACCACGAGGGCACUAGUGAGAUUAAGAUAGCUCGUUAGGACAUUUACAAAGCCGAGUACAACAAAUUUGAGCAGUUACCUGGUGAGUCUCUAGAGGACAUGUUUGGUAGGUUUGAGGUCAUAGUUGGGAAACUGAGGGGUGUCGGGGUUGUGUACACUGAUUCUGAGAAAGCUAGACACAUCCUAAACUCUCUUGACCCAAUCUAAGAGAUGAGAAAGAUCGCGAUUCAGGAGUCCCAUAAACCUGAUGAGCUCACUGUAGACAUUGUUCUCCAAGCUUAAAACUCACCAAAUAGCCAGUGAAGGUAGAAACCCACCUAGGAACAGGACUCUUGCACUAGUUGGUAGUGAAUGCCAAACUGCACAUGGUCCCUCUAGUGUUUCUGAGUCUGGCAGUGGUCCUUCUUCUGGUUUUUCACUUGCUUGUUUGGUUUCAGUCUCUGAUGAACAACUUGAAUCUUUGCCUGAGGAUGAUCUUGCUCUUUUUGUCCGCCGUUUUUCUCGAGCUUAUAAAAACGUAAGAGAAAGGAAAGACAAACACACAAAAAUCUAUUUUGAGUGUGGUUUGCAGGUGAGGGAGUCCUAGACUAAGGGAUCCUCGGGCGUCCGGCCUGUUAGCCAUGGGCCGGACUGAUGGGCUGUGAAGAUACGAAGACCGAAGACUGCACCCGUGUCCGGAUGGGACUCUCCUUGGCGUGGAAGGCAAGCUUGGCGACCGAAUAUGUAGAUUCCUUUCUUUGUAACCAACCGUGUGUAACCCUAGAUCCUCCCGGUGUCUAUAUAAACCAGACGACUUAGUCCGGAAAGGGAGACUCAUUACCAUAGUCACACAGGCUAGACUUCUAGGGUUUAGUCAUUACGAUCUCGUGGUAGAUCAACUCUUGUAAUACUCAUAUUCAUCAAGAUCAAUCAAGCAGGAAGUAGGGUAUUACCUCCAUAGAGAGGGCCCAAACCUGGGUAAACAUCGUGUCCCCUGUCUCCUGUUACCAUCGACCUUAGACGCACAGUUCGGGACCCCCUACCCGAGAUCCGCCGGUUUUGACACCGACAUUGGUGCUUUCAUUGAGAGCUCCAUGAUACGUCUGCAACGUAUCUAUAAUUUAUGAAGUAUUCAUGCUAUUAUAUUAUCCAUCUUGGAUGUUUAAUGGGCUUUACUAUGCAUUUUUAUAUUAUUUUUGGGACUAACCUAUUAACCCAGCGCCCAGUGCCAGUUUCUGUUUUUUCCCUUGUUUCAGUGUUUCGCAGAAAAGGAAUAUCAAACGGAGUCCAAACGGAAUGAAACCUUCGGGAGAAUUAUUUUUGGAACGGAAGCAAUCCAGGGGACUUGGAGUGCACGUAAGGGAAGCAACGAGGAAGGCACGAGGCAGGGGGGCGCGCCCACCCCCCUGGGAGCGCCCGCCACCCUCGUGGGCCCCUCAUGGCUACCCUGACCGACUUCUUUCGCCUAUAUAUCUCCAUAUACCCUAAAACCUUCGGGGAACAGAAUAGCUCGGGAGUUCCGCCACCGCAAGCCUCUGUAGCCACCAAAAACCAAUCGGGACCCUAUUCCGGCACCCUGCCGGAGGGGGGAUCCCUCACCGGUGGCCAUCUUCAUCAUCCCGGCGAUCUCCAUGACGAGGAGGGAGUAGUUCACCCUCGGGGUUGAGGGUAUGUACCAGUAGCUAUGUGUUUGAUCUCUCUCUCUCUCGUGUUCUUGAGGUGAUACGAUCUUGAUGUAUCGCGAGCUUUGCUAUUAUAGUUGGAUCUUAUGAUGUUUCUCCCCCUCUACUAUCUUGUAAUGGAUUGAUCCUUGAGAUCUCUUAGCCGUGUGCGGUGCCCCCCUCCACCAUAUUACACCUCGAUAAUACCGUUGCGGAGCUUAGGCGAAGCCCUGCGUCGGUGGAACAUCAUCAUCGUCACCACGCCGUCGUGCUGACGAAACUCUGCGUCAACACUCGGCUGGAUCGGAGUUCGAGCGACGUCAUCGAGCUGAACGUGUGUAGAACUCGGAGGUGCCGUAUGUUCGGUACUUGAUCGGUCGGAUCGUGAAGACGUACCACUACAUCAACCGGGUUGUGAUAACGCUUCCGUUGUCGGUCUACGAGGGUACGUGGACAACACUCUCCCCUCUCGUUGCUAUGCAUCACCAUGAUCUUGCGUGUGCGUAGGAAAUUUUUUGAAAUUACUACGUUCCCCAACAGUGGCAUCCGGGCCUGGUUUUAUGCGUUGAUGCUAUGCACGAGUAGAACACAAGUGAGUUGUGGGCGAUAUAAGUCAUACUGCUUACCAGCAUGUCAUAUUUUGGUUCAGCGGUAUUGUGAGAUGAAGUGGCCCGGACCGACAUUACGCGUACGCUUACGCGAGACUGGUUUCACCGUUGCGAGCACUCGUUGCUUAAAGGUGACCGGCGGGUGUCUGUCUCUCUCACUUUAGUUGAACCGAGUGUGGCUACGCCCGGUCCUUGCGAAGGUUAAAACAGCACCAACUUGACAAACUAUCGUUGUGGUUUUGAAGCGUAGGUAAGAACGGUUCUUGCUAAGCCCGUAGCAGCCACGUAAAAUAUGCAACAACAAAGUAGAGGACGUCUAACUUGUUUUUGCAGGGCAUGUUGUGAUGUGAUAUGGUCAAGACAUGAUGUGAUAUAAUGUGUUGUAUGAGAUGAUCAUGUUUUGUAACCGAGUUAUCGGCAACUGGCAGGAGCCAUAUGGUUGUCGCUUUAUUGUAUGAGAUGCAAUCGCCAUGUAAUAGUUUUACUUUAUCACUAAGCGGUAGCGAUAGUCGUAAAAGCAAUAAGUUGGCGAGACGACAACGAUGCUACGAUGGAGAUCAAGGUGUCGCGCCGGUGACGAUGGUGAUCAUGACGGUGCUUCGGAGAUGGAGAUCACAAGCACGGUGCUUCGGAGAUGGAGAUCACAAGCACAAGAUGACGAUGGCCAUAUCAUAUCACUUAUAUUGAUUGCAUGUGAUGUUAAUCCUUUAUGCAUCUUAUCUUGCUUUGUUUGACGGUAGCAUUAUAAGAUGAUCCUUCACUAAAUUAUCAAAGUAUAAGUGUUCUCCCUGAGUAUGCACCGUUGCAAAAGUUCUUCGUGCUGAGACACCACGUGAUGAUCGGGUGUGAUAGGCUCUACGUUCAAAUACAACGGGUGCAAAACAGUUGCACACGCGGAAUACUCAGGUUAAACUUGACGAGCGUAGCAUAUAACAGAUAUGGCCUCGGAACACGGAGACCGAAAGGUCGACCGUGAAUCAUAUAGUAGAUAUGAUCAACAUAGUGAUGUUCACCGUUGAAACUACUCCAUCUCACGUGAUGAUCGGACAUGGUUUAGUUGAUAUGGAUCACGUGAACACUUAGAGGAUUAGAGGGAUGUCUAUCUAAGUGGGAGUUCUUAAGUAAUAUGAUUAAUUGAACUUAAAUUUAUCAUGAACUUAGUCCUCAUAGUAUUUUGCAAACUAUGUUGUAGAUCAAUAGCUCGCGUUGUUGCUUCCCUGUGUUUAUUUUUGAUAUGUUCCUAGAGAAAAAUUAUGUUGAAAGAUUUUAGUAGCAAAGAUGCGGAUUGGAUCCGUGAUCUGAGGAUUAUCCUCAUUGCUGCACAGAAAAAUUAUGUCCUUGAUGCACCGCUAGGUGACAGACCCAUUGCAGGAGCAGAUGCAGACGUUAUGAACGUUUGGCUAGCUCAAUAUGAUGACUACUUGAUAGUGUAGUGCACCAUGCUUAACGGCUUAGAAUCGGGACUUCAAAGACGUUUUGAACGUCAUGGACCAUAUGAGAUGUUCCAGGAGUUGAAGUUAAUAUUUCAAGCAAAUACCCGAGUUGAGAGAUAUGAAAUCUCCAACAAAGUUCUAUAGCAAAAAGAUGGAGGAGAAUCGCUCAACUAGUGAGCAUGUGCUCAGAUUGUCUAGGUACUACAAUCGCUUGAAUCAAGUGGGAGUUUAUCUUCCAGAUAAAAUAGUGAUUGACAGAAUUCUCUAGUCACCAUCACCAAGUUAGUAGAACUUCGUGAUGAACUAUGGUAUGCAAGGGAUGACGAAAGUAAUUCCCGAGCUUUUCGUGAUGCUGAAAUCGACGAAGGUAGAAAUCAAAAAAAACAUCAAGUGUUGAUAGUUGACGAGACCACUUCAAGUGUUGAUGGUUGAUGAGACCACUAGUUUCAAGAAAAGGGCAAAGGGAAGAAGGGGAACUUCAAAAAGAACGGCAAGCAAGUUGCUACUCAAGUGAAGAAGCCUAAGUCUGGUCCUAAGCCUGAAACUAAGUGCUUCUACUGCAAAGGGACUGGUCACUGGAAGCAGAACUACCCCAACUAUUUGGUGGAUAAGAAGGAUGGCAAAGUGAACAAAGGUAUAUUUGAUAUACAGAUUAUUGAUGUGUACUUUACUAGUGUUUAUAGCAACCCCUCGGUAAUUGAUACUGGUUCAGUUGCUAAAGAGUAGUAACUCGAAAACGGGAGUUGCAGAAUAAACAGAGACUAGUAAAAGGCGAGGUGACGAUGUGUGUUGGAAGUAGUUCCAAGAUUGAUAUGAUCAUCAUCGCACACUCCCUGUACUUUCGGGAUUAGUGUUGAAACUAAAUAAGUGUUAUUUGGUGUUUGCGUUGAGCAUGAAUAUGAUUUGAUCAUGUUUAUUGCAAUACGGUUAUUCAUUUAAUUUAGAGAACAAUUGUUGUUCUGUUUACAUGAAUAAAACCUUUAUGGUCAUACACACCAACGAAAAAUGGUUUGUUGGAUCUCGAUCGUAGUGAUACACAUAUUCAUAAUAUUGAAGCCAAAAGAUGCAAAGUUAAUAAUGAUAGGCAACUUAUUUAUGGUACUGCCGUUUAGGUCAUAUUGGUGUAAAGCGCAUGAAGAAACUCCAUACUGAUGGGAUUUUGGAAUCACUUGAUUAUGAAUCACUUGAUGCUUGCGAACCGUGCCUCAUGGGCAAGAUGACUGAAACGCCGUUCUCCGGAACUAUGGAGAGAGCAACAGAUUUGUUGGAAAUCAUACAUACAGAUGUAUGUGGUCCGAUGAAUAUUGAGGCUCGUAGCAGGUAUCAUUAUUUUCUGACCUUCACAGAUGAUUUGAGCAGAUAUGGGUAUAUCUACUUGAUGAAACACAAAGUCUGAAACAUUUGAAAAGUUCAAAGAAUUUCAGAGUGAAGCGGAAAAUCAUCGUAACAAGAAAAUAAAGUUUCUACGAUCUGAUCGUGGAGAAGAGUAUUUGAGUUACGAGUUUGGCCUUCAGUUAAAACAAUGUGAAAUAGUUUCACUACUCACGCCACCUGGAACACCACGGUGUAAUGGUGUGUCCGAACAUCGUAACCGUACUUUAUUAGAUAUGGUACGAUAUAUGAUGUCUCUUACCGAUCUACCACUAUCAUUUUGGGGUUAUGCAUUAGAGACAGCUGCAUGCACGUUAAAUAGGGUAUCAUCUAAAUCCGUUGAGAUGACAUCUUAUGAACUGUGGUUUGGCAAGAAACCAAAGUUGUCGUUUCUUAAAGUUUGGGGUUGCAAUGCUUAUGUGAAAAAGUUUCAUCCUGAUAAGCUCAAACCCAAAUCGGAGAAAUGUGUCUUCAUAGGAUACCCAAAGGAGACUGUUGGGUAUAACUUCUAUCACAGAUCCGAAGGCAAAACUUUUGUUGCUAAAUUCGGAAAUUUUCUAGAGAAGGAGUUUCUCUCGAAAGAAGUGAGUGGGAGGAAAGUAGAACUUGAUGAGGUAACUAUACCUGCUCCCUUAUUGGAAAGUAGUUCAUCACAGAAACCAGUUUCUGAGACACCUACACCAAUUAGUGAGGAAGUUAAUGAUGAUGAUCAUGAAACUUCAGAUCAAGUUAUUACUGAACCUCGUAGAUCAACCAGAGUAAGAUCCGCACCAGAGUGGUACGGUAAUCCUGUUCUGGAAGUUAUGUUACUAGACCAUGACGAACCUACGAACUAUGAAGAAGCGAUGGUGAGCCCAGAUUCCGCGAAAUGGCUUGAGGCCAUGAAAUCUGAGAUGAGAUCCAUAUAUAAGAACAAAGUAUGGACUUUGAUUGACUUGCCCAAUGAUCGGCGAGCCAUUGAAAUUAAAUGGAUCUUCAAGAGGAAGACAGACAGUGAUAGUAGUGUUACUGUUUACAAAGCUAGAAUUGUCGCAAAAAGGUUUUCGACAAGUUCAAAGUGUUGACUACGAUGAGAGUUUCUCAUCGUAAUUAUGCUUAAGUCUGUCUGAAUCAUGUUAGCAAUUGCCGCAUUUUAUGAAAUAUGGCAAAUGGAUAAACAAAACUGCAUUCCUUAAUGGAUUUAUUAAAGAAGAGUUGUAUAUGAUGCAACCAGGAGGUUUUGUCAAUCCUAAAAGUGCUAACAAAAUAUGCAAGCUCCAGCGAUCCAUCUAUGGACUGGUGCAAGCAUCUCGGAGUUGGAAAAUACACUUUGAUAAGUUGAUCAAAGGAUAUAGUGUUAUACAGACUUGCGGUGAAGCCUGUAUUUACAAGAAAGUGAGUGGGAGCACUACAACAUUUCUGAUAAGUAUAUGUGAAUGACAUAUUGUUGAUCGGAAAUAAUGUAGAAUUAUUCUGCAAAGCAUAAAGGAAUGUUUGAAAGGAGUUUUUCAAAGAAAGACCUCGGUGAAGCUACUUACAUAUUGAGCAUCAACAUCUAUAGAGAUAGAUGAAGACGCUUGAUGAGUUUUUCCAUGAGUACAUACCUUAACAAGAUUUUGAAGUAGUUCAAAAUAGAACAGUCAAAGAAAGAGUUCUUGCCUAUGUUACAAGGUGUGAAAUUGAGUAAGACUCAAAGCCCGACCACGGCAGAAGAUAGAAAGAGAGUAAAAGUCAUUCCCUAUGCCUUGACCAUAGGUUCUAUAAAGUAUGCCAUGCUGUGUACCAGAUCUAUUGUAUAUCCUACACUGAUUUUGGCAAGGGAGUACAAUAGUAGAUCACUGGACAGCGGUCAAAAUUAUCCUUGGUGGAAUAAGGAUAUAUUUCUCGAUUAUGGAAGUGACAAAAAGGUUCGUCGUAAAGGGUUACGUCGAUACAAGUUUUGACACUAAAUCUAGAUGAUUCUAAGUCUCGGUCUAGAUACAUAUUGAAAGUGGAAGCAAUUAGCUAGAGUAGCGCCGUGCAGAGCAUUGUAGACAUAGAAAUUUGUAAAAUACUUACGGAUGUGAAUGUGGCAGACCCGUUGACUAAAAUUAUCUCACAAUCAAAACAUGAUCACACCUUAGUACUCUUUGGGUGUUAAUCGCAUAGCGAUGUGAACUACAUUAUUGACUCUAGUAAACCCUUUGAGUGUUGGUCACAUAGAGAUGUGAACUAUGGGUGUUAAUCACAUGGUGAUGUGAAUUAUUGAUGUUAAAUCACAUGGCGAUGUGAACUAGAUUAUUGACUCUAGUGCAAGUGGGAGACUGAAGGAAAUAUGCCCUAGAGGCAAUAAUAAAGUAUUAUAUAUUUCCUUAUAUCAUGAUAAAUGUUUAUUAUUCAUGCUAGAAUUGUAUUAACCGGAAACAUAAUACAUGUGUGAAUAUAUAGACAAACAGAGUGUCACUAGUAUGCCUCUACUUGACUAGCUCGUUAAUCAAAGAUGGUUAUGUUUCCUAGCCAUAGACAUGAGUUGUCAUUUGAUUAACGAGAUCACCUCAUUAGGAGAAUGACGUGAUUGACUUGACCCAUUCUGUUAGCUUAGCACUCGAUCGUUUAGUAUGUUGCUAUUGCUUUCUUCAUGACUUAUACAUGUUCCUAUGACUAUGAGAUUAUGCAACUCCCGUUUACCGGAGGAACACUUUGUGUGCUACCAAACGUCACAAUGUAAAUGGGUGAUUAUAAAGGUGCUCUACAGGUGUCUCCAAAGGUACUUUUUGGGUUGGCGUAUUUCGAGAUUAGGAUUUGUCACUCCAAUUGUCGGAGAGGUAUCUCUGGGCCCACUCGGUAAUGCACAUCACUAUAAGCCUUGCAAGCAUUGUGACUAAUGAGUUAGUUGCGGGAUGAUGUAUUACGGAACGAGUAAAGAGACUUGCCGGUAACGAUAUUGAACUAGGUAUCGAGAUACCGACGAUCAAAUCUCGGGCAAGUAACAUACCAGUGACAAAGGGAACAACGUAUGUUGUUAUGCGGUCUGACCGAUAAAGAUCUUCAUAGAAUAUGUGGGAGCCAAUAUGGGCAUCCAGGUCCCGCUACUGGUUAUUGACCGGAGACGUGUCUUGGUCAUGUCUACAUAGUUCUCGAACCCGUAGGGUCCGCACGCUUAACGUUACGAUGACAGUUUUAUUGAGUUUUGAUGUACCGAAGGAGUUAGGAGUCCCGGAUGAGAUCGGGGAUAUGACGAGGAGUCUCAAAAUGGUCGAGACGUAAAAAUCAAUAUAUUGGACGACUAUAUUCGGAUUUCGGAAAGGUUCCGAGUGAUACGGGUAUUUUUCGGAGUACCGGAGAGUUACGGGAAUUCGUAUUGGGCCUUAAUGGGCCAUACGGGAAAGGAGAGAAAGGCCUCAAAAGGUGGCCGCACCCCUCCCCAUGGUCUGGUCCGAAUUGGACUAGGGAAGGGGGGCGCACCCUUCCUUCUUUCUCCUUUCCCCUUCCCUUCUCCUACUCCCACAAGGAAAGGAGGAGUCCUACUCCCGGUGGGAGUAGGACUCCCCCCUAUGGCGCGCCUCUCCCCUUGGCCGGCUGCCUCCCCCUUGCUCCUUUAUAUACGGGGGCAGGGGGGCACCCCAAUGACACAACAAUUGAUCCUUGAGAUCUCUUAGCCGUGUGCGGUGCCCCCCUCCACCAUAUUACACCUCGAUAAUACCGUUGCGGAGCUUAGGCGAAGCCCUGCGUCGGUGGAACAUCAUCAUCGUCACCACGCCGUCGUGCUGACGAAACUCUCCCUCAACACUCGGCUGGAUCGGAGUUCGAGGGACGUCAUCGAGCUGAACGUGUGUAGAACUCGGAGGUGCCGUACAUUCGGUACUUGAUCGGUCGGAUCGUGAAGACGUACGACUACAUUAACCGCGUUGUGAUAACGCUUCCGUUGUCGGUCUACGAGGGUACGUGGACAACACUCUCCCCUCUCGUUGCUAUGCAUCACCAUGAUCUUGCGUGUGCGUAGGAAAUUUUUUGAAAUUACUACGUUCCCCAACAUUAUUAUGACUAGAAAUAAUAGCCCCAGGAUAUGAAUAAUGUUCAAUUUCUUCUGCCAUGGAUAACACAUAAGAAAUAAUAUUGCACUCUUCAAUUAAUCUUGGGCGUGCAUGAGUACCAGACCGCCUAAGUCUGUCACCUGCAACAUUCAAACUUGGUGGAACAAUAGGCUGAUUUGGAGUGUCAUGUUAAUUAUCACCAACAGAUUCGUCAUGUGCAUCAAUAUUUUUCUUAUCAGAUGUAUUACAUGAGUCAACAAACAUUCUCCACCUGAACAACAGGUUGCUACUCUAUUUUAACACGAACAUUAAUGGAUGGAACUGUUGGAAAUCGUAGUACAAAGAAAUUGCCCUAUGGAAUUAAACCAGGAUCACUAUGGUUGCCAUGUUUUAUAGACAAUUCGCCAAUGUUUUGCCAUCUUAUCCACAAAACAUGGCAUUUUUCUAAAAUUGUUAGUACUAGCCCAAGCCAAAUUUGACAUAAACUGUUAUAAAAACAUGGGGGGGGGAUUUCUUUUGAAUCACGACAUUGUUUUUUUUAAUCGCCAUGGCAAAUUUAUUGUAUUGACCACGACAAAUUUAUCGUUUUGACUUUAGAAAUUUCAACUUGUGGCUUCCAUGGCAAGUUUACAUAUUUUUUUAAUUUCAUAAUUCAUGCCAAAUUUAUAAAUUUUGUAACACUCACAUGGAAAAGGUUAGAGCAAUCUUUUCUGUUCAUAAGACAAUUUUAUGAUUUUUUUCAUAUCUACCACCUUUUUUGUUAGCAUGGCAAGUUCCAGAAAAAUCCAUUAUGUUCACAUGGCAAGCUCACAAGAAUUCGUUACUGAAAUCCCUAUCUAUGGCAUGGCAAUUUUAUUUGGAAGAGCAUGGCAAAUUUUAAUCUAUAUCAUGGUAAAUUUAUUUUUAAUUGCAUGGAAAUUUUUAAUAUUUUGGAUCCAGGUAAUUUUCUUGUUUGAUUUUUGUUGGGGAACGUAGCAUGCAAUUUCAAAAAAAAAAUCCUACGAUCACGCAAGAUCUAUCUAGGAGAUGCAUAGCAACGAGAGGGGAGAGUGUGUGCACGUACCCUCGUAGACCGAAAGCGGAAGCGUUAUGUUAAAGCGGUUGAUGUAGUCGAACGUCUUCACGAUCCAACCGAUCCAAGUACCGAACGUACGGCACCUCCGUGUUCAGCACACGUUCAGCUCGAUGACGUCCCUCGAACUCUUGAUCCAGUAGAGGGUCGAGCGAGACUUCCAUCAGCACGACGGCGUCGUGAUGGCGAAGGUGAUGUGAUCUGCGCAGGGCUUCGCCUAAGCACUACGACGCUAUGACCGGAGGAGUAAACUGUGGAGGGGGGCACCGCACACGGCUAAGAGAAUUCUUGGUGUGCCUUUGGGGUGCCCCCGCCCCCGUAUAUAAAGGAGGGGAGGAGGAGGCCAGCGGCCAGGAGGGGCGCGCCAUGGCGCGAGUCCUACUUGGGCUCCUAGUCCAAGUAGGAUUCGGCCCCCACCACCUUUUCCUUCCAACGGAGGGGGAACGAGGGAAGGAGAGGAGAGGAAGAGGGAAAUGGGGGCCGCGCCCCUCCCCUUCCUAUUCGGACUCCCCUUGGGGGGGGGCCUCCCCCUUGUGGGUUGUCCCCUCUUCUCUCCCAUGGCCCAUAAGGCCCAUGAUUUCCCCGGGGGGGUUCCGGUAACCCCUCGGUACUCUAGAAAAAUACCCGAAUCACUCAGAACCAUUCCAAUGUCCGAAUACAACCUUCCAAUAUAUGAAUCUUUACCUCUCGACUGUUUCGAGACUCCUCGUCAUGUCCGUGAUCUCAUCCGGGACUCUGAACAAACUUCAGUCACCAAAACACAUAACUCAUAAUACAAAUCGUCAUCUAACAUUAAGCGUGCGGACCCUACGGGUUCGAGAACUAUGUAGACAUGACCGAGACACAUCUCCGGUCAAUAACCAAUAGCGGAACCUAGAUGCUCAUAUUGGUUCCUACAUAUUCUAUGAAGAUCUUUAUCGGUCAAACCACAUAACAACAUACAUCAUUCCCUUUGUCAUCGGUAUGUUACUUGCCCGAGAUUCGAUCGUCGGUAUCAUCAUACCUAGUUCAAUCUCGUUACCGGCAAGUCUCUUUACUCGUUCCGUAAUGCAUCAUCCCGUAACUAACUCAUUAUUUACAUUGCUUGCAAGGCUUAUCAUAAUGUGCAUUACCGAGAGGGCCCAGAGAUACCUCUCCGAUACUCUGAGUGACAAAUCCUAAUCUCGUUCUAUGCCAACCCAACAAACACCUUCGGAGAUACCUGUAGAGCAUCUCUAUAAUCACCCAGUUAUGUUGUGACGUUUGAUAGCACACAAGGUACUCCUCCAGUAUCCGGGAGUUGCAUAAUCUCAUAGUGAAAGGAAUAUGUAUAAGUCAUGAAGAAAGCAAUAGCAAUAAAACUUAACUAUCAUUAUGCUAAGCUAACGGAUGGGUCUUGUCGAUCACAUCAUUCUCCCAAUGAUGUGAUCCCGUUCAUCAAAUGACAACACAUGUCUAUGGUUAGGAAACAUAACCAUCUUUGAUUAAUGAGCUAGUCUAGUAGAGGCUUACUAGGGACAUGGUGUUUUUGUCUAUGUAUCCACACAUGUAUCAAGUUUCCGGUUAAUACAAUUCUAGCAUGAAUAAUAAACAUUUAUCAUGAUAUCAGGAAAUAUAAAAUAACAACUUUAUUAUUGCCUCUAGGGCAUAUUUCCUUCAGUCUCCCACCUGCACUAGAGUAAAUAAUAUAGAUUACAUAGUAAUGAUUCUAACACCCAUGGAGUCUUGGUGCUGAUCAUGUUUUGCUCGUGGAAGAGGCUUAGUCAAUAGGUCUGCAACAUUCAGAUCCAUAUGUAUUUUGCAAAUCUCUAUGUCUCCCUCCUUGACUUGAUCGCGGAUGGAAUUGAAGCGUCUCUUGAUGUGUUUGGUUCUCUUGUUAAAUCUGGAUUCCUUCGACAAGGCUAUUGCUCCAGUAUUGUCACAAAAGAUUUUCAUUGGACCCGAUGCACUAGGUAUUACACCUAGAUCAGAUAUGAACUCCUUCAUCCAGACUCCUUCAUUUGCUACUUCCGAAGCAGCUAUGUACUCCGCUUCACACGUAGAUCCCGCCACGACGCUCUGCUUAGAACUGCACCAACUGACAGCUCCACCAUUCAAUAUAAAUACGUAUCCGGUUUGUGACUUAGAGUCAUCCGGAUCAGUGUCAAAGCUUGCAUCGACGUAACCAUUUACGACAAGCUCUUUGUCACCUCCAUAAACGAGAAACAUAUCCUUAGUCCUUUUCAGGUAUUUGAGGAUGUUCUUGACCGUUGUCCAGUGACCCACUCCUGGAUUACUUUGGUACCUCCCUACUAAACUUAUAGCAAGGCACACAUCAGGUCUGGUACACAGCAUUGCAUACAUGAUAGAACCUAUGGCUGAAGCAUAUGGAAAGACUUCCAUUGUCUCCCUAUCUUCUGAAGUGGUCGGGCAUUGAGUCUGACUCAACUUCACACCUUGUAACACAGGUAAGAACCCUUUCUUUGACUGAUCUAUUUUGAAAUUCUUCAAAACUUUAUCAAGGUAUGUGCUUUGUGAAAGUCCAAUUAAGCGUCUUGGUCUAUCUCUAUAGAUCUUGAUGCCCAAUAUAUAAGCAGCUUCACGGAGGUCUUUCAUUGAAAAUUUCUUAUUCAUGAAUCUUUUUAUGCUAUCCAGAAAUUCUAUAUCAUUUCCAAUCACCAAUAUGUCAUCCACAUAUAAUAUUAGAAAUGCUAGAGCUCCCACUCACUUUCUUGUAAAUACAGGCUUCUCCAAAAGUCUGUAUAAAACCAUAUGCUUUGAUCACACUAUCAAAGCGUAUAUUCCAACUCCGAGAUGCUUGCACCAGUCCAUAAAUGGAUCGCUGGAGUUUGCACACUUUGUUAGCACCUUUAGGAUCGACAAAACCUUCUGGUUGCAUCAUAUACAACUCUUCUUUAAGAUAUCCAUUAAGGAAUGCAAUUUUGACAUCCAUUUGCCAAAUUUCAUAAUCAUAAAAUGCGGCAAUUGUCGUGGUUCUAAAAAUGACAGUAGAAUAGGGGGUAGGUAUAAGGAGGCAAGAUCCUAGCUAUGGUGAAGUUGUACACGCAAGAUUUACGAGUUCAGGCCCUUCACAGGGGAAGUAACAACCCUACGUCUCGGUGCUUGGGAGCUCGGUCGAUUGGAUUAUAUGUGUGGAGUUACAGGGGGUGCGAACCCUUGUGCCUGAGGAGGGGGUGGCUUAUAUAGAGUUUGCCAGACCACUCCGACCCUCAGUUACACAGAGUUCAAUGUACAUAAAGAUAGGAAUGUUACUGGUAACACCAGCAUUAAAGUUACAUAAAUGAUCAUUAAGCCUACAGAGUGAAGGCCCGACCGUUGUCAUUCAGGGUGACCUUAGGCCUUCUGACCUCCGAGUGGAUUCUGUUAUGGUCGAGUGAGCGCACUCUUGUCGAAUGGAAUUGUGUUGUCCGAGUGGGACUAUCAGUUGAGUGGAUUGGACUAUGUAGUGAUUUCAGUCGAUUGAAUCUGCUGUCUUUUGAAUGCCUUUGAUUGUAGGGCAGUGUCCUUGGGUAGGGUACUUACAGCAGGUCUAUUUCCCUACCCUAGGUACAUGUCGUCAUCAUUAGCCCCCGAAUGGUUCUGGGUCCGAGUGGAAUUGAAGUUGAAGGAGGUUCCGACUCAACUUUCCUGCUUCGGAAGCACUUUACUUAGAUUGGUGAACCACGCAAAAGGUUUCAACUUCAUUUUCAGUCGCCUUGAGCCAUUCAGGAGUUGUCGAGUGAACUUUCAUCAAUAAGCUUUGAGUGUUUGAUAUGGUAUAAAAUCUUCGGUAUAAAAUCUCUGCCGUUCCCGGAUCUCGCAGGAUUCGAAAUUUGGGGAAGCGCGCGGGGCGGAGAGGGCCACAGCAAUCGGAAUGGAUUAGGCAGGGGCGCCUCGAUCUCCGCGCCACCUUUUUCGCCAUGUACCGCGACUGUUGCGGGAUUUGAUAGGAUUGCUUGGGCCCAUAGGUCAGCCACUCGGGAAACCAGCCCAUAUAAGGAGUUUGGGCCGGUGCUUUUGUACUGUGCGCCUCAUUUCUUCUCUUCCUCCUCUGUUUCUCCUCAGCGCUUGCCCCCUCCCUCGACGCCGCCGCCCAGUCCGAGUGCACCCCGCUGAGAUGGCGAAAGACAGGACGGCGGCCCUAGAGCGCGUGAAGAGGGCGCCGGCGAAGGCAAAGGGCAAGAACUCCAGCCGGGGGGAUCAUCGUCGAGAUCUGGCCUGCCGCCCGGCUGGAUCCAAGGCGACUGGAUUCGCUCCACGAUCCAGCAGGAGGAUCUGGUGGAGGGGGGGCGUCUGAUUCCCCGUGGCUCCUGGCGGCUCCUGGAGGACGAGACCGAGCCACGGCUACAAGAGGGUGAGUGUGUACUUCUUGCCACCCAUGUCGACCGCGGGUUUUCUUUGCCACCACAUCCUUUUUUCCGGGGUUUUCUAAAUUUCUUUGGGGCCCAACUCCAUCAUUUCUCUCCCAACACCAUCACAUACCUCGCUGCGUUCGUGUCCAUGUGCAAAAACUUCCUAGGGUGUCGACCGCACUGGGGUCUCUUCAAGCACAUUUUCACAUGUCGUUCUCAAGUCGUAAAAAAGGCCAAUCCGAGUGAUGAGAGGACACACGUGAUCCAGAUGUGCGGAGGAUUAGGGAUUCACAUGAGGGGUAAAAGCACCUUCCUAGCCAUGACCCUUCCCGAGUCGGUUAGAGAUUGGCAGUCGACUUGGUUCUAUUGUAAGGAUGAACCGACUCCUGGCCAGUCGACCGGCCUUCCUCCGUUUUCCAUGGAGAGAGUCGAGAAGCCCUCUCCCUUGAGAGUGACCUCGGCUGAGAAAGGGGAGGUAACAAUGUUGGUUGAGCGAGUGGUCCAGCUUGUCCAUGACGGUGUGACCGGCAUGUUUCUCAAACGACGUAUCCAGCCACUCCAAGCUCCUGAUCAUCCAAUGUGGUUGUACUCGGGCGUUGAAGACAGCACUCGGAUCCACCCGGAAGAAGUCGACGAGGAGAUGGUGGCGCAGUGGCUGCAGGGCAUCACCGGCAAUAAGGACAACCCCAGGGGGUCCAGGAGAGUUCCUCCGUUCGACAGCACCAAUGAACUAGACAAGGUCUGACUCUUCUCUCCCGAGUGUCUUUUUGUUCUGACGUGUGAUUUCUUUUGGAACCGACUGACAUUCAGUCGACUCUGUGCCUUGCAGAUUUAUACUGAGACGUACUCGAUGCCCAAUGGAGAGCAGGAGCAGGAACCAGAAGGGGAGGUGAGCGGAGGCGAAAGCGGCGAGUGGCACUCUGACGGAGGAGAAGACGAUGAAAGUGAUGACUCCGGUGACGGCGAAGAAGUCGACUCACCACCUCGCACUGAGAGGCGAUCCAAGCACAUCCAUGAUCCAGCAAGUAUCCAUGGCAGAGCGACUGCGCGGACUGGUCAGACUUUGAAGCGCCCUCGAACGUCCUCUCCUGUGCCGACUGAGAAGGCCCCAAAGCAAUCCAAAGUUGCGCCAUCAAAAACUCGGAAGCCCUUGCCCAUGAUCAAAGUGGUUGUUCCCAUUGCUUCCGGGUAAUAUUUGGACUCGAUUUUUUAGUUUGGCAUGAAUUGAUCUUUGGUCGACUCACUUCGGAAGAUCUGACCGAUUGAAAUUUGAGAUUUGCAGUGUUGCUACCUCUGGGACUUCUGUUUACGGAGAUGAUGACGAGGAAAUGGAAGACACAGUCACCUCUAAUCCGGGUAUGACUCUUGCAAUUUUGUAUUUACUUUCCCAGAUAUUUUGUUGGUCGACUGAACUCUGGCAAUUGAUUCUUUUGUAGCUCCACCCAAUGUCAUUGAUCUUCUAGACGACGACGAGGAUGUGUCGCUGAGGCUCAUGGGAAGGAGGAGCAGGAAAACAUCAACUGGCAAGACGCCUCAGUCGACGCCAGUGACGGAACCGGUGAUCCAGGAGACCGGUGAUACCAACCGGGCUUCUGUGACUUUUGCCGUACCAUUGUCGAGUGCCCAGCCCUCAGCGUCGAAUGCACAGAUUCCAGCUGAUCCACCGUCUUCACUCUUUACUGCGCAUCACGUCCCAGAGGACCAAGUGGGUGCUGCCAAGGAAGCUAUACGCCAGGCAGGCAUCAUGAUGGAGCAGAUGAAAGUGGUUCGGGAGGCCAGUCAAGCUGCUUAUGACGCCAGCUCAGCUCUCCAGCACGUCUAGGUUGGUUGAUUUCCGACUGAUCCUUUAGCUUGUCGCUUGUUCUGUUAGGAUAUGCUACCUGAAAACUUUUCUUGUGCAUCUAUCUGUCAGUCUGUACUUUUGCAUCCGUACACCCACUAGGUGUUUUAAUUUAUGCUGAGUAGUUUUCCUGAUACAAUCGACUAGGUUAUGUUGAUUGUAGCUUUAGACUAGUGGGGGCACGCAGAGUGCAUCCACUGGGUGUAGUCCCCGAGGCCACCGUCGAAUGUGCGAUUCGGCGGAGGUCUUGAUAAAAAUAUCUUGUUCUUCAGUUCUUCCACUCGAUCUGGGUGGACCAUGUCGAGUGGAAUCUGACCCAGUGGGGGCACGCUGAGUGCACUGACUGGGUGUAGUCCCCGAGACCGCGGUCGACUUCGGGCAGUCGGUUGGGGUCUUAGAACAACUGUUGCAUUCUUCUUUCUUUUUUUCCUUUUUUUACUCGGCCUAGUCGGACCAUGUCGAGUAGAAACUGGACCAGUGAGGGCACGCUAAGUGCACCCACUGGGUGUAGUCCCCGAGACUACUGUUGGAUGUUUGAUUCGGCAGUAGUCUUAGAACUUUAUGAAUUUGUCACUCUAUUGCUCGGAAGCAACCAAUCUUCAUGUCUGUCGACUGAUUAUCCCCUAACCACAGAAAUCUUGUGAACUUGGAGCUUGAUUUGCUGACUUGGAGCAGAAGCAGAUCCAACUCAAUCUUGAUCUGGAGUUAGCCAAGAUGAAUUUGCAGAAGGCUAAGGAUGAUGCUGUUGGUAUGAAAAACUUGUCGACUGACUCUUUUCUGAACUGAGUGUUAUUUCCUUCCUCUAAACCAAGUGUUAUCUCUAUCAGAAACGAUGAACCAAGCUUUGGCGCAGAAGGAUCUGGAGCUUGCAGCCGCAUAGAAAACUGCAGAAGAGAAAACUGCACUUGCCGGCCAGAAGCUGGCCUCAGUCGGUAAACUGGAAGAAGAGAACACCAAGCUGAAGGCUGCUCUUGAUGAAGCCAACAAGGAGGCGACUCGACUGAAGAGGGACAAAAGGACCCUGACCGACAAAAUGGAAGACAUCGCCCGCAAGAGAGACAAGUGAUACGUCUCCAACGUAUCUAUAAUUUUUGAUUGUUCCAAGCUAUUAUAUUAUGUGUUUUGGAUGUUUAUGGGCUUUACUAUGCACUUUUAUAUUAUUUUUGGGACUAACCUAUUGACCCAGAGCCCAGUGGCAGUUCCUGUUUUUCCCUUGUUUCAGUGUUUCGAAGAAAAGGAAUAUCAAACGGAGUCGAAACGGAAUGAAACCUUCUGGAGAAGUUAUCAUUGGAAGGAAAGCAACCUGAUAGACUUGGAGUGCACGUCAGGAAAGAAACGAGGGAGCCACGAGGUAGGGGGCGCGCCCACCCCCUAGGGCGCGCCCUCCACCCUCGUGGGCCCCUCGUGGCUCCCCUGACCGACUUCUUUCGCCUAUAUAUAUCCAUAUACCCUAAAAACUUCGGGGAACAGAAUAGAUCGGGAGUUUCGCCGCCGCAAGCCUCUGUAGCCACCAAAAACCAAUCGGGACCCUGUUCCGGCACCCUGCCGGAGGGGGGAACCCUCACCGAUGGCCAUCUUCAUCAUCCCGGCGCUCUCCAUGACGAGGAGGGAGUAGUUCACCCUCGGGGCUGAGGGUAUGUACCAGUAGCUAUGUGUUUGAUCUCUCUCUCUCGUGUUCUUGAUUUGGCACGAUCUUGAUGUAUUGCGAGCUUUGCUAUUAUAGUUGGAUCUUAUGUUGCUUCUCCCCCUCUACUCUCUUGUAAUGGAUUGCGUUUCCCCUUUGAAGUUAUCUUAUCGGACUGAGUCUUUUAAUGAUUUGAGAACACUUGAUGUAUGUCUUGCCGUGCGUAUUGAUACGUCUCCAACGUAUCUAUAAUUUUUGAUUGCUCCAUGCUAUAUUAUCUACUGCUUUGGACAUUAUUGGGCUUUAUUAUUCACUUUUAUAUUAUUUUUGGGACUAACCUAUUAACCGGAGGCCCAACCCAGAAUUGCUGUUUUUUUUCCUAUUUCAGAGUUCCGCAGAAAAGGAAUAUCAAACGGAGUCCAAACGGAAUGAAACCUUCGGGAACGUGAUUUUUAGGAAGAAUGUGAUCCAGGAGACUUGGACCCUACGUCAAGAAACAAAAGAGGAGGCCACGUGGUAGGGGGGCGCGCCCACCCCCCCAGGGCGCGCCCUCUGCCCUCGUGGGCCCCCUGUUGCUCCACCGACGUACUCCUUCCUCCUAUAUAUACCUACGUACCCCCAAACGAUCAGAUAUGGAGCCAAAAACCUAAUUCCACCGCCGCAACCUUCUGUACCCACGAGAUCCCAUCUUGGGGCCUGUUCCGGAGCUCCGCUGGAGGGGGCAUCCACCACGGAGGGCUUCUACAUCAUCACCAUAGCCUCUCCGAUGAAGUGUGAGUAGUUUACCUCAGACCUUCGGGUCCAUAGUUAGUAGCUAGAUGGCUUCUUCUCUCUUUUUGGAUCUCAAUACAAUGUUCUUCCCCUCUCUCGUGGAGAUCUAUUCGAUGUAAUCUUCUUUUUGCGGUGUGUUUGUUGAGACCGAUGAAUUGUGGGUUUAUGAUCAAGAUUAUCUAUGAACAAUAUUUGAAUCUUUUCUGAAUUCUUUUAUGUAUGAUUGGUUAUCUUUGCAAGUCUCUUCGAAUUAUCAGUUUGGUUUGGCCUACUAGAUUGAUCUUUCUUGCAAUGGGAGAAGUGCUUAGCUUUGGGUUCAAUCUUGCAGUGUCCUUUCCCAGUGACAGUAGGGGCAGCAAGGCACGUAUUGUAUUGUUGCCAUCGAGGAUAACAAGAUGGGUUUUUUUUAUCAUAUUGCAUGAAUUUAUCCCUCUACAUCAUGUCAUCUUCCUUAAAGCGUUACUCUGUUUCCAUGAACUUAAUACUCUAGAUGCAUGCUGGAUAGCGGUCGAUGAGUGGAGUAAUAGUAGUAGAUGCAGGCAGGAGUCGGUCUACUUGUCUCGGACGUGAUGCCUAUAUACAUGAUCAUACCUAGAUAUUCUCAUAACUAUGCUCAAUUCUGUCAAUUGCUCAACAGUAAUUCGUUCACCCACCGUAAAAUACUUAUGCUCUUGAGAGAAGCCACUAGUGAAACCUAUGGCCCCCGGGUCUAUCUUCAUCAUAUUAAUCUUCCAACACUUAGUUAUUUCCUUUGCUUUUUUCUUUGCUUUUAUUUUACUUUGCAUCUUUAUCACAAAAAUACCAAAAAUAUUAUCCUAUCAUAUCUAUCAGAUCUCACUCUCAUAAGUGACCGUGAAGGGAUUGAAAACCCCUUAUCGCAUUGGUUGUGAGGAGUUAUAUGUUUUGUGUAGAUGCGAGGGACUCGCGCGUAGCCUCCUACUGGAUUGAUACCUUGGUUCUAAAAAACUGAGGGAAAUGCUUACGCUACUUUGCUGCAUCACCCUUUCCUCUUCAAGGGAAAACCAACACAGUGCUCAAGAGGUAGCAAGAAGGAUUUCUGGCGCCGUUGCCGGGGAGGUCUACGCAAAAGUGAACAUACCAAGUACCCAUCACAAUCCCUUAUCUCCCGCAUUACAUUAUUUGCCAUUUGCCUCUCGUUUUCCUCUCCCCACUUCACCCUUGCCUUUUUAUUUGCUCUCUCUUUUUGCCGUUUGCCUCUUUCUCGCUUGCUUGUCGUUAUGGCUAGUCCUCUAUCUUCUCCGUUGUCUCCCGAGAAUGAAGUUCUAAAUUUUAAACAAAGGGAGGGAGAAAAUCUAAAAGACGCUUGGUAUAGAAUUUGCAAUGCUCAAAAUAGAUCUGCCAGGAAGCAAUCUACUUCCGUUCUUCUCCGCAAUUUCUAUGUAGGCGCUAAUCAUUGGUAUAGAUAUAUUCUUGAUACCAUUACCGGAGGGAAUUUCUUGGGUAGCGAUACUUUUGACUCUUAUAAUGCUAUGAUAGAUUUAUUUGGCUCACCACCUCUUUUGGUUAAUGGAACUAUGUUAACUUUGGAGCAUGUAAUGCAAAGACUUGAAAUUAUUGAGAAUAAAGUUGCUACCGUAGAGUUAAUUGAAAAUCUGGAUAAAAAGAUCCACAACCAAAUUACCCAAUAUGGAUCUAAUGUAGGAGUUACUUUGAAAAAUAUUAAGGAGAAGGAACCCAUAGUCAAUGAGAAAAUAAAUCAAGAUUCCACUAGAAUCGAUAAGCUUGAGGGUAUCAUUACCAACUUGGGAACCGCUUUUUCUUCCAUAAAGAAUACUCCAAAUCCUCCUACUAAAACUCCCAAGCUUAUGUAUGUUCCUAAAAAUAAGGGUGAAUCAUCUAGUAAGGAAACUGCGGAUCUCAAGUCUAUAAGUAUUCAUCCCAAUCUUUUUGCCAUCAUUAAGGAACCAUUUGCUACGAAUGAAUUUUUUGAUCUUGUGCCUAAAAUUUUGAUAAUUACUAAAAAGAAAGAACUAAGGAUGAUAGAUGUCUCAUUGAAGAAUUGCCUACCAAAGAUGGCAAUACCUAGAUCUAUCCUUGCUAUUAUGCCUAGCUAGGGGCGUUAAACAAUAGCGCAUGUUGGGAGGCAACCCAAUUUUAUUUUUUGUUUUUUGCUUUUGCUUCUGUUUAGGAAUAAAUAUUUGAUCUAGCCCCUGGUUAGAUGUGUUUUUAUAUUUUAAUUAGUGUUUGUGCCAAGUUAAACCUAUAGGAUCUUCUUGGAUGAUAGUCAUUUGAUCUUGCUGUAAUUUCCAGAAACUUUCUGUUCACGAAAAUAAUUGUUAAAAAUCACCAGAACGUGAUAAAAUAGUGAUUCCAGUUGCUGCUGAUCAAUAAACAAAUUUUCUAGGUCGUCCUAUUUUUUCUGAUGUUUUGGAGUUCCAGAAGUUUGCAUUAGUUACAGAUUACUACAGACUGUUCUGUUUUUGACAGAUUCUGUUUUUCGUGUGUUGUUUGCUUAUUUUGAUGAAUCUAUGGCUAGUAAAAUAGUUUAUAAACCAUAGGAAGUUGGAAUACAGUAGGUUUAACACCAAUAUAAAUAAAGAAUGAGUUCAUUACAGUACCUUGAAGUGGUCUUUUGUUUUCUUUCGCUAACGGAGCUCACGAGAUUUCUGUUAAGUUUUGUGUUGUGAAGUUUUCAAGUUUUGGGUGAAAGAUUUUUGAUGGAUUAUGGAACAAUGAUUGGCAAGAACCUAAGCUUGGGGAUGCCCAUGGCACCCCCAAGAUAAUCUAAGGACACCAUAAAGCCAAAGCUUGGGGAUGCCCCGGAAGGCAUCCCCUCUUUCGUAUACUUCCAUCGGUAACUUUAAUUGGAGCUAUAUUUUUAUUCACCACAUGAUAUGUGUUUUGCUUGGAGCGUCUUGUAUGAUUUGAGUCUUUGAUUUUUAGUUUACCACAAUCAUCCUUGCUGUACACACCUUUUGAGAGAGCCAUACAUGAUUUGGAAUUUGUUAGAAUACUCUAUGUGCUUCGCUUAUAUAUUUUGAGUUAUAUAGUUUUGCUCUAGUACUUCACUUAUAUCUUUUAGAGCACGGUGGUGGAUUUGUUUUAUAGAAACUAUUGAUCUCUCAUGCCUCACUUCAAUUAUUUUGAGAGUCUUAAAUAGCAUGGUAAUUUUCUUAAAUAAUCCUAAUAUGCUUGGUAUUCAAGAUUAGUAAAAAAGUUUCUUAUGAGUGUGUUGAAUACUAUGAGAAGUUUGAUGCUUGAUAAUUGUAUUGAGAUAUAAAGAUGGUGAUAUUAGAGUCAUGCUAGUUGAGUAGUUGUGAAUUUGAGAAGUACUUGUGUUAAAGUUUGUGAUUCCCGUAACAUGCACGUAUGGUGAACCGUUAUGUGAUGAAAUCGGAGCAUGAUUUAUUUAUUGAUUGUCUUCCUUAUGAGUGGCGGUCGGGGACGAGCGAUGGUCUAUUCCUACCAAUCUAUCCUCCUAGGAGCAUGCGCGUAAUACUUUGAUUUGAUAACUUGUAGAUUUUUGCAAUAAGUAUAUGAGUUCUUUAUGACUAAUGUUGAGUCCAUGGAUUAUACGCACUUUCUUCCUUCCACCAUUGCUAGCCUCUCUAAUACCGCACACUUUUCGCCGGUAUCAUACACCCACCAUAAACGUUCCUCAAAACAGCCACCAUACCUACCUAUCAUGGCAUUUCCAUAGCCAUUCCGAGAUAUAUUGCCAUGCAACUUUCCACCAUUCCGUUUAUUAUGACACGCUUCAUCAUUGUCAUAUUGCUAAGCAUGAUCAUGUAGUUGACAUCGUAUUUGUGGCAAAGCCACCAUUCAUAAUUCUUUCAUACAUGUCACUCUUGAUUCAUUGCAUAUCCCGGUACAUCACCGGAGGCAUUCAUAUAGAGUCAUAUUUUGUUCUAAGUAUCGAGUUGUAAUUGUUGAGUUGUAAGAAAAUAAAAGUGUGAUGAUCUUCAUUUUUUAGAGCAUUGUCCCAAGUGAGGAAAAGGAUGAUGGAGACUAUGAUUCCCCCACAAGUCGGGAUGAGACUCCGGACGAAAAAAAGAGGCCAUAAAAAAAUAGAAAAGGCCCAAAUAAAAAAAAGAGAGAAAAAGAGAGAAGGGACAAUGUUACUAUCCUUUUUACCACACUUGUGCUUCAAAGUAGCACCAUGAUAUUCAUGAUAGAAAGUCUCUCAUUUUUUCACUUUCAUAUACUAGUGGGAAAUUUUCAUUAUAGAACUUGGCUUGUAUAUUCCAAUGAUGGGCUUCCUCAAAAUGCCCUAGGUCUUCGUGAGCAAGCGAGUUGGAUGCACACCCACUUAGUUUCUUUUGUUGAGCUUUCAUAUACUUAUAGCUCUAGUGCAUCCGUUGCAUGGCAAUCCCUACUCACUCACAUUGAUAUCUAUUGAUGGGCAUCUCCAUAGCCCGUUGAUACGCCUAGUUGAUGUGAGACUAUCUUCUCCUUUUUUGUCUUCUCCACAACCACCAUUCUAUUCCACAUAUAGUGCUAUAUCCAUGGCUCACGCUCAUGUAUUGCGUGAAGAUUGAAAAAGUUUGAGAACGACAAAAGUAUGAAACAAUUGCUUGGCUUGUCAUCGGGGUUGUGCAUGAUUUAAAUACUUUGUGUGGUGAAGAUAGAGCAUAGCCAGACUAUAUGAUUUUGUAGGGAUAACUUUCUUUGGCCGUGUUAUUUUGAGAAGACAUGAUUGCUUUGUUAGUAUGCUUGAAGUAUUAUUAUUUUUAUGUCAAUACUAAACUUUUGUCUUGAAUCUUUUAGAUCUGAAUAUUCAUACCACAAUUAAGAAGAAUUACAUUAAAAUUAUGCCAAGUAUCACUCCGCAUCAAAAAUUCUGUUUUUAUCAUUUACCUACUCGAGGACGAGCAGGAAUUAAGCUUGGGGAUGCCUGAUACGUCUCCAACGUAUCUAUAAUUUUUUAUUGCUCCAUGCUAUAUUAUCUACUAUUUUGGACAUUAUUGGGCUUUAUUAUUCACUUUUAUAUUAUUUUUGGGACUAACCUAUUAACCGGAGGCCCAACCCAGAAUUGCUGUUUUUUUUGCCUAUUUCAGAGUUUCGCAGAAAAGGAAUAUCAAACGGAGUCCAAACGGAAUGAAACCUUCGGGAACGUGAUUUUUAGGAAGAAUGUGAUCCAGGAGACUUGGACCCUACGUCAAGAAACAAAAGAGGAGGCCACGUGGUAGGGGGGCGCGCCCACCCCCCCCAGGGCGCGCCCUCUGCCCUCGUGGGCCCCCUGUUGCUCCACCGACGUACUCCUUCCUCCUAUAUAUACCUACGUACCCCCAAACGAUCAGAUAUGGAGCCAAAAACCUAAUUCCACCGCCGCAACCUUCUGUACCCACGAGAUCCCAUCUUGGGGCCUGUUCCGGAGCUCCGCCGGAGGGGGCAUCCAUCACGGAGGGCUUCUACAUCAUCACCAUAGCCUCUCCGAUGAAGUGUGAGUAGUUUACCUCAGACCUUCGGGUCCAUAGUUAGUAGCUAGAUGGCUUCUUCUCUCUUUUUGGAUCUCAAUACAAUGUUCUCCCCCUCUCUCAUGGAGAUCUAUUCGAUGUAAUCUUCUUUUUGCGGUGUGUUUGUUGAGACCGAUGAAUUGUGGGUUUAUGAUCAAGAUUAUCUAUGAACAAUAUUUGAAUCUUUUCUGAAUUCUUUUAUGUAUGAUUGGUUAUCUUUGCAAGUCUCUUCGAAUUAUCAGUUUGGUUUGGCCUACUAGAUUGAUCUUUCUUGCAAUGGGAGAAGUGCUUAGCUUUGGGUUCAAUCUUGCAGUGUCCUUUCCCAGUGACAGUAGGGGCAGCAAGGCACGUAUUGUAUUGUUGCCAUCGAGGAUAACAAGAUGGUUUUUUUUAUCAUAUUGCAUGAAUUUAUCCCUCUACAUCAUGUCAUCUUGCUUAAAGCGUUACUCUGUUUCCAUGAACUUAAUACUCUAGAUGCAUGCUGGAUAGCGGUCGAUGAGUGGAGUAAUAGUAGUAGAUGCAGGCAGGAGUCGGUCUACUUGUCUCGGACGUGAUGCCUAUAUACAUGAUCAUACCUAGAUAUUCUCAUAACUAUGCUCAAUUCUGUCAAAUUGCUCAACAGUAAUUCGUUCACCCACCGUAAAAUACUUAUGCUCUUGAGAGAAGCCACUAGUGAAACCUAUGGCCCCCGGGUCUAUCUUCAUCAUAUUAAUCUUCCAACACUUAGUUAUUUCCUUUGCUUUUUUGCUUUGCUUUUAUUUUACUUUGCAUCUUUAUCACAGAAAUACCAAAAAUAUUAUCCUAUCAUAUCUAUCAGAUCUCACUCUCAUAAGUGACCGUGAAGGGAUUGACAACCCCUUAUCGCGUUGGUUGCGAGGAGUUAUUUGUUUUGUGUAGGUGCGAGGGACUCGCGCGUAGCCUCCUACUAGAUUGAUACCUUGGUUCUCAAAAACUGAGGGAAAUACUUACGCUACUUUGCUGCAUCACCCUUUCCUCUUCAAGGGAAAACCAACGCAGUGCUCAAGAGGUAGCACGUAUCUGUGGUGACAAUGGGAUAUCACGUGAUUCACUUGAUGUAUGUUUUGGUGAUCAACUUGCGGGUUCCACCCAUGAACCUAUGCAUAGGGGUUGGCACACGUUUUCGUCUUGAUUCUCCGGUAGAAACUUUGGGGCACUCUUUGAGGUUCUAUGUGUUGGUUGAAUAGAUGAAUCUGAGAUUGUGUGAUGCAUAUCGUAUAAUCAUACCCACGGAUACUUGAGGUGACAUUGGAGUAUCUAGGUGACAUUAGGGUUUUGGUUGAUUUGUGUCUUAAGGUGUUAUUCUAGUACGAACUCUAGGGCUGUUUGUGACACUUAUAGGAAUAACCGAACGGAUUGAUUGGAAAGAAUAACUUUCAGGUGGUUUCGUACCCUACCAUAAUCUCUUCGUUUGUUCUCCGCUAUCAGUGACUUUGGAGUGACUCUUUGUUGCAUGUUGAGGGAUAGUUAUAUGAUCCAAUUAUGUUAUUAUUGUUGAGAGAACUUGCACUAGUGAAGGUAUGAACCCUAGGCCUUGUUUCCUAGCAUUGCAAUACCGUUUACGCUCACUUUUAUCAUUAGUUACCUUGCUGUUUUUAUAUUUUCAGAUUACAAAAACCUAUAUCUACCAUCCAUAUUGCACUUGUAUCACCAUCUCUUCGCCGAACUAGUGCACCUAUACAAUUUACCAUUGUAUUGGGUGUGUUGGGGACACAAGAGACUCUUUGUUAUUUGGUUGCAGGGUUGCUUGAGAGAGACCAUCUUCAUCCUACGCCUCCCACCGAUUGAUAAACCUUAGGUCAUCCACUUGAGGGAAAUUUGCUACUGUCCUACAAACCUCUGCACUUGGAGGCCCAACAACGUCUACAAGAAGAAGGUUGCGUAGUAGACAUCAAGCUCUUUUCUGGCGCCGUUGCCGGGGAGGCUAGGUAAGCGGCACUCACACCCCAUCAACUAAGCUCUUUUCUGGCGCCGUUGCCGGGGAGGUGAGUGCUUGAAGGUAUAUCUUUAGAUCUUGCAAUCAAAUCUUUUUGUUUCUUGUUUUGGCACUAGUUUAGUUUAUAAAAGAUAACUACAAAAAAAUAGAAUUGAGGUUGUCCCAUACGCUUCAUCUUUUUAAUAUCUUUCGUGAGUAUGAUGGAAAGGAAAAUUCUGAUCAAUUGCUAGAGGAAGAAUUACAUAGAAUGCUUGGCAUAAAAUAUGUGAAUGAUGAGCAUGAUUGCAAUGUUGUUAGUAUGAAUUCUUUGAAUACCCAUGAUGUUAAUGAUAUGCAAAGCCACAAGCUUGGGGAUGCUAUGUUUGAUGAAGAUGAUAUGUUUAGUCCCCCAAGUUUUGAUAAGCAAAUUUAUUAUGAUGAAAGCAUGCCUCCUAUUUAUGAUGAUUAUUGUGAUGACACGUAUGCUAUAAAGAAUAAAGAUAACCAUAAAACUUGUCAUCAUGAUUUUAAUUUCCAAUUGGAUUAUGCUUCACAUGAUCGUUAUUUUGUUGAGUUUGCUCCCACUACUAUUGCUGAGAAAAAAAUUGCUUAUGUGGAGAGUAGUAAACUUUCUAUGCAAGUAGAUCAUGAAAAGAAUGCUUUAUGUGAUGGUUAUAUUUUUGAAUUCAUUCAUGAUGCUACUGAAAAUUAUUAUGAGGGAGGAAUAUAUACUUGUAGGAAUUGCAAUAAUAUCAAGUUUCCUCUCUAUGUGCUUAAAGUUUUGAAGUUAUGCUUGUUUUACCUUCCUAUGCAAAUUAAUUCUUGUUCCCAUAAGUUGUUUGCUCAUAAAAUCCCUAUGCAUAGGAAGUGGGUUAGACUUAAAUGUGCUAGUCAUAUUCUUCAUGAUGCUCUCUUUAUGUUUCAAUUCUUAUCUUUUAUGCGAGCAUCAUUGAAAUCAUCAUGCCUAGCUAGGGGCGGUAAACGUUAGCGCUUGUUGGGAGGCAACCCAAUUUUAUUUUUGUUCUUUGAUUUUUGCUCCUAUUUAGUAAUAAAUAUUUCAUCUAGCCUCUGGUUAGAUGUGGUUUUAUGUUUUAAUUAGUGUUUGUGCCAAGUAAGACCUAUAGGAUCUUCUUGAAUGAUAGUUAUUUGAUCUUGCUGAAAAUUCCAGAAACUUUCUGUUCACGAAAACAAUUGUUUAAAAUCACCAGAACGUGAUAAAAUACUGAUUCCAAUUGCAGCAGAUCAAUAAUAAAAUUAUCUAGGCCGUCCUGUUUUCGUAGAAUUUUUUGAGUUCCAGAAGUUUGCUUUAGUUACAGAUUACUACAGACUGUUCUGUUUUUGACAGAUUCUGUUUUUUCAUGUGUUGUUUGCUUAUUUUGAUGAAUCUAUGGCUAGUAAAAUAGUUUAUAAACCAUAGAGAAGUUGGAAUACAGUAGAUUUAACACCAAUAUAAAUAAAUAAUGAGUUCAUUACAGUACCUUGAAGUGGUGUUUUGUUUUCUUUCGCUAACAAAGCUUACAAGUUUUCUGUUAAGUUUUGUGUUGUGAAGUUUUCAUGUUUUGGGUAAAUAUUCGAUGGACUACGGAAUAAGGAGUGGCAAGAGCCAAAGCUUGGUGAUGCCCAUGGCACCCCAAGAACAUAUUCAAGGACAACCAAAAGCCUAAGCUUGGGGAUGCCCCGGAUGGCAUCCCCUCUUUCGUCUUCGUUCAUCGGUAACUUUACUUGUAGCUAUAUUUUUAUUCACCACAUGAUAUGUGUUUUGCUUGGAGCGUCAUUUUAUUUUCUUUAGCCUUGCUUGCUGUUUGAAUAAAAUACCAAGAUCUGAAAUUCUUAAAUGAGAGAGAGUCUUCACAUAGCUACGUAAUUAUUGAACUACUCAUUGAUCUUCACUUAUAUCUUUUUGGAGUAGUUUGUCAUUUACUCAUGUGCUUCACUUAUAUCCUAUGAGUAAAUGGUUGAAUGAUUUGAAUGUAAUAAAUCUGAAAUUAUAUAUGUUUCAUAUGCUUAUCCCAUGGGGAGUAAUGACUUCACAUAUAAGAAGUAGAGGUGGUAAAUUUAUUGAAGGUUAGCAAACAUUGUAUUGGUCACUUGAACAAUUCAUGAAAGAAUAUUGAAGGAAGAGAGAUUUCACAUAUAAAUAUACUAUCUUGGACAUCUUUUGUAAUUGUGAGCACUCAUUAAAAUAUGACAUGAUAAAAGGUUGAUGUUGGACAAGGAAGACAACGUAAUGGGUUAUGUUUUCUUAUGUCCGAAAUAAAGUAUAUUUGUGACACCCAAAAUUUUUAAUUGUUUUUUUAACUUUUAUUUUUUUAUUUGAGGAGGGUAUUUAAAUUUUUCUUCUAAAGAACUCUCCCUCUCAAAAUAUUUUCUUUUAUGGCAAGUGUUUUGUUUUGGAUUCACCCAAGACUUGGUUCUUGGUCUUGGAGGUUUGCCCUUUUUAUUUGGACUAAAAACCAAAUGCUUUUCACUUGGGAAAAUUUCUUUUGAAAAAUCUUUUAAAUAGCCCUAGGGCAUUUUGAGUGAUCUUUUCCCCUUUUCAAAAUUUCUCUUGCCAUGACCUAAGUGGAAAUCCCCUCCCAAAAGCCUUUCCCCACCUUUGUAUCAAGUUAUUCUUCAAAUCCAGCAAGUUGAACCUCUCCAUAUAUUUGUUUCCAUUUACUUCUCAUCAAAAACAAUUGUUGCCUUCUAUCUUGAUCCUUGGAGGUUUACAAGGGAGCUACCCUUUCUGCUUUGAAUUUUGCCUCCAAACCAAUUUCCCUAGCUAGUCCUUUGAGCCCUCAACCAGGAUCCAUGAAGAUCCACUGGUCUCCAGUUCAAAUAUUUCAAACUACACUUGCUGCAAGUUUGGACCUCAUUUGCCAAAUUUGAUGAAAUUCAUUUGAAUUCUUCUCCUAAAAAUCUGAGAAAAUUCAGGCAGCCUCUAGGUGCAUUGAGAGGUCACCUCACCAAGUCCCAGCUCCAGAAAUUUUUUUCUCCUUGCCAAAUCAUUUCAUCGAACACCUACUGGACACUGUUGCUAUCAUGUUCAGUAAAUUCAGAUAAACAGUUUUAGAGCUGCUGUCGUUUUCUUCAGAGCCCGACGUCGAUCUCGCCAGUGCCGCGGUGGCGCCUUGCUCCCCGUCCCCUCCUUCUUGUCCCUGGCGCCGCACGAACGCCUGGAAGGUUGCGGGCGUCGGCGACGAGCAGGAGGAGGUGCGCCACCCCGUGAGCGACGGCAGCGGCGGCUUUGGGGCCGCCAGAGAGGGGCGCAGCGUAGACGGCGCCUUCCAGCGCCGCCCAAGCCACCGGAGGCCGCCGCGUGGCCAUCCACUCCCCCGUGCGCGCUGCCACCCUCGUCGUGAACUCCUAGACGCGGAGUGCGCUCUCUGCCGCCGCCGUGCCCAUAUGGCCGCCCCGUCGAGGACCGGCGUCAUUACGCCAAGCCCGACCAAGGUUAGCAGUGGAACGGCACCAGUGAACCUCCCUGAUGCUGCCUGGCCACUUAAACUCCCUGCUCAACCACUGCCUCGCCGUAAUCGCUCGCCGGAGAUUUCCCGUUCACGGGCACCCCCUCGAAUCGCCUAUAAAUAGAGGCCCCGAGCUCGAACCCGAACCCACACCACCUCUGCACACCUCCAAUACCACGCCAAGCCACUGGAAGAGCCCCGAGGGAGCCUUCUUCCCCAACUCCGGCCGCCUUGACCCGCCACGGGAUCCAACUCGAUUCGCUCCCGUGCGUGCACCUCUACCCCUCAGCUCUUGCCAGUAGCCUUCUAGUGCAUCCACUCUGCUGACCCGCGCCUCAAUUUGAAGUUUGCAGCACCCACCGGAGUUCUCCACCAUCGCCCGAGCCGCCGUCCGCCGGAGAAAGUGUCGCCGUCGACGUGGUGCUCUCCGUCGGUCAAGUCCACCACCCACCGACGCGGAAGGACGCACUAAACCUCUUGGUACACUCCGAUCUCCCUGCCUCGCCGUGAUUCAACGCCGGCGACCACCGCAGUCUUCGGGCGUCGGCGAGGUUUUCAAACCUGACGUGUGGACCCCCCCCCCUGUCAGCCUCUAUUCUUCUUCCCCCUCGAACCGUUUUCUGUUGGCGCCUUCGGGCAAAUACGUUUUCUCUUUGAGCUGACGUCUUUUACUCCGAACCAUUUUCUGUUUUCCCAGUUAAGUCCCUGGAUCUUUUCUGUUUCAUCACAGAUUAGUCCCUGGACUAAAGCCCUUAUAACUUUUUAAUAAAAGAUGAUUUUUGAGUGAUUCUUUUUCUGUCAGUCUUGUAUUUUCGUCUAGUUUUUUAUAGUAUUUAUUUGGAAAAAAUUUGGAACAAAUUUUAUGCUCGCGUCGAUGUUCACGUUAGUGUACGUUUUUCGCUGUACCGUAGAUUCCGGAAGAGGUGACGGAGCCGCGAACUUCGCCGAGCUAGACUCCGACUUCUCUGAAUCAGGCAAGCAUGUUUGAACCUUUGAUAUGGCGGGUGUUUUGCAUGUUUGCUUGAAUGGUUUGUGCAUGGCAUAUGAGCAUCGGUGAGUAUCUCGUUGCAUGUAAGGCAACUAUCCGUGUGCUCCGAAGUUACUAUGAUCUCUGAUGAGAGAUGGCCUAGUCAUGUGGUGACAUGAAAGGCAGUAAGGUGGUAUUGUUGUAGCAUGCCAGCCUCACGAUGUCCGAUAAACUCCGAUGUUAACGUGGACUGAGUCACGUUAUCGUUCUUCCCCUUUCCGUGCCGCCACAUGUUUUCUGCCAAGAAUACGGUGUAGUAAGUUGGUAACCUCUUUCCGUGUACACACCAAAUAGAGGGGCCGGGAUGAGGGUUCCAUGGCCCUGGAUUAAAGCCAGUCAUCCGGUCAGGGGGCAUGGGUGUUUCCGGUUGGGACCGAGAGGGGGGCACCCCUUAGAGCGCGCGUAUAUAAAUUUGAUCCCAUGCUACGCGAGGUUGUAGCCUCCCCGUCUCAAGGUUUUUCUUGAACGUCGCCGAGGGUGAUUCCUGGCUUCGGAAUGUUGAAUGGGUGUGUACUGGUUAGAUGUGUUUCUCCUAAAAUACCGUAAACGGAACUAGUCCCCGUGACUACUGAAAUCCGUUGGCUGUGGUUAAAGUACAAACUCUGCAGAGUCAAAUCCUUCCGAGUCAUCGUAUCUAUGGUCAAGGACCAUGGCCAGUAUGUCUAUAUCUAUGUCAAUCCUCGUGGUAAAUCCCCGGUGAACAAGCUUGAGUGGUAAACCCAGUUUAAUUGUUAUUCCUAUGGAUGGACUAACCUUUUAUUUAUCUCGUACUUGAAAUGAUUUAUAUUCUUGAACUACUGAAUUAUUAAGUUAUGAUAUAAGCCCUUUAUGUGAUGUCGCUUAGACGUCCGACUGUGGCACUCUUGUCAUUUAUUUUCAAUAUAAGCCCUUUAUGUGAUGUCGCUCAGACCUCCGACUGUGUACGCUCGUUAUUUACUUUUGAUAUAAGCCCUUUAUGUGAUGUCGCUCAGACGUCCGACGGUGGCACGCUCGUUAUUUACUUUUGAUAUAAGCCCUUUAUGUGAUGUCGCUCAGACGUCCGACUGUGGCACGCUCGUUAUUUACUUUUGAUAUAAGCCCUUUAUGUGAUGUCGCUCAGACAUCCAACUGUGGCACGCACUGUUGUUUAUUUUCCAUUAUAAGCCCUUUAUGUGGUGUCGCCUUGUCACCCGACUGCGGCAUUGUUAUUUCAUUGUUUUACCCUUCCGAGGAGUCUUUCAGACACUCGAUUGGCCCUCAGUAUUACUUUGGGAUUUCAGGAGGACUACCGCCCGACUUCUCUUUAUUUUCCCAUGCAUUAUUAUCUCGUUGUCUGAGUGCGCUUGUUGAUCUGUUCUUAGGCAUCAUGUUCACAUUUGUUAUAUCUUAUGUCCGAACUGUCUUGCGAGUACUUUCAUAGUACUCACUUGGCUUGUUGAUUUGGCCAGAUGUUGAUGAAGGCGAUCUCAUGGAUGAAGAGUUUGAUAGCGAGUCCGACGCCUAGAGGAGUCCCAGUCAGUCCCGUGCGAUCCUGGAUAUUGGUCACUUGUAUUAUAUUCACUUCCGCCACCCACAAUAAGUCUCCUCGAGCCUCACUCCGACGCUCGAAGAGCUGUUAGUCUUCAGGAGUCAUAUCACCCACUUCGCUGUGAUAUAUCCACCACCGCUUUUAUCGCGAGUUAGUAGCUAUGCCACCCUAUCCGCCUUUAUGUAUUAUUGGCAUGCUUGUAAUAAAUUGUUGAGCAGUCUCCGCUCAACCUUGUAUUACAUUCAGUACUCCUGGUAUUUUCUUCUGUGAUCAAGAUUUUGUCUACUAGUAAGAAGAAUUCUUAUUUACUGGUUCGUAAAAGGGAUCGAUUUCUCAAUAAUUUUUUUUAUUGGAAAACCGGUCGUGACAAUAUUGUCAUGGAUCGCCCAACACAUUGAGCUUGCCUUUCCCCCUCAUGCUAGCCAAAUUCCUUGCACCAAGUAGAGAUACUACUUGUGCUUCCAAACAUCCCUUAAACCAGUAUUCCCAUGAGAGUCCACCAUACCUACCUAUGGAUUGAGUAAGAUCCUUCAAGUAAGUUGUCAUCGGUGCAUGCAAUAAAAAUUGCUCUCUAAAUAUGUAUGAUCUUUUAGUGUGGAGAAAAUAAGCUUUAUACGAUCUUGUGAUAUGGAAGCAAUAAAAGCGACGGACUGCAUAAUAAAUGUCCCUAUCACAAGUGGCAAUAAAGCGACGUUCCCUCGCACUAAGAUUUUGUGCAUCCAACUAUAAAAGCGCAUGGCAACCUCUGCUUCCCUCUGCGAAGGGCCUAUCUUUUACUUUUAUGCAAGAGUCAUGGUGAUCUUCACCUUUCCUUUUUUCAUUUUAUCCUUUGGCAAGCACCUCGUGUUGGAAAGAUUCUGAUAUAUAUCUCCAAUUGGAUGUAAGGCAUCAUGAACUAUUAUUGUUGACAUUACCCUUGAGGUAAAAGGUUGGGAGGCGAAUCUAUAAGCCCCUAUCUUUCUCUGUGUCUGAUUAUUGAACCCAUAAAUAUCGCGUGAGUGUUAGCAAUUGUGAAAGACUAAAUGAUAGUUGAGUAUGUGGAGUUUGAUAAAUCAAAGCUCUGACAUAGACUCUUCCUGGAAAUAAGAUGAAUUGUAAUUGUUUGAUGACUAAUGACACGGUUUUUUAUUUUUCAAGAAAGUUUAUGAUCUAUACUUUAACAUGUGAAUAGUUUGUUACUUGAUCAUGCAAAGUUCUAUGAGUUGAGCUACUGUUAUGACAUAUAAUGAUGGUAGAAAAGGUGAUUGAAAUUAUCAUUGAUCAAACUUAUGCACCUGCUAGCAUUCACACUUCAUAAAUUCUUUCUUUUAUCAUUUACCUACUCGAGGACGAGCAGGAAUUAAGCUUGGGGAUGCUGAUACGUCUCCAACGUAUCUAUAAUUUAUGUAGUAUUCAUGCUAUUAUAUUAUCCAUCUUGGAUGUUUAAUGGGCUUUACUAUGCACUUUUAUAUUAUUUUUGGGACUAACCUAUUAACCCAGCGCCCAGUGCCAGUUUCUGUUUUUUCCAUUGUUUCAGUGUUUCGCAGAAAAGGAAUAUCAAACGGAGUCCAAACGGAAUGAAACCUUCGGGAAAGUUAUUUUUGGAACGGAAGCAAUCCAGGGGACUUGGAGUGCACGUAAGGGAAGCAACGAGGAAGACACAAGGCAGGGGGCGCGCCCACCCCCCUGGGCGCGCCCUCCACCCUCGUGGGCCCCUCGUGGCUUCCUUGACCGACUUCUUUCGCCCAUAUAUCUCCAUAUACCCUAAACCCUUCGCGGAACAGAAUAGAUCGGGAGUUCCGCUGCCGCAAGCCUCUGUAGCCACCAAAAAACCAAUCGGGACCCUGUUCCGGCACCCUGCCGGAGGGGGGAUCCCUCACCGGUGGCCAUCUUCAUCUUCCCGGCGAUCUCCAUGAGAGGAGGGAGUAGUUCACCCUCGGGGCUGAGGGUAUGUACCAGUAGCUAUGUGUUUGAUCUCUCUCUCUCUCUCGUGUUCUUGAGGUGAUACGAUCUUGAUGUAUCGCGAGCUUUGCUAUUAUAGUUGGAUCUUAUGAUGUUUCUCCCCCUCUACUCUCUUGUAAUGGAUUGAGUUUUCCCUUUGAAGUGAUCUUAUCGGAUUGAGUCUUUAAGGAUUUGAGAACACUUGAUGUAUGUCUUGCCGUGCUUAUCUAUGGUGACAAUGGGAUAUCAAGUGAUCCACUUGAUGUAUGUUUUGGUGAUCAACUUGCGGGUUCCGCCCAUGAACCUAUGCAUAGGGGUUGUCACACGUUUUCGUCUUGACUCUCCGGUAGAAACUUUGGGGCACUCUUUGAAGUACUUUGUAUUGGUUUGAAUAGAUGAAUCUGAGAUUGUGUGAUGCAUAUUGUAUAAUCAUACCCACGGAUACUUGAGGUGACAUUGGAGUAUCUAGGUGACAUUAGGGUUUUGGUUGAUUUGUGUCUUAAGGUGUUAUUCUAGUACGAACUCUAUGAUAGAUCGAACGGAAAGAAUAGCUUUAUGUUAUUUUAUACGGACUCUUGAAUAGAUCGAUCCGAAAGAAUAAGUUUGAGGUGGUUUCGUACCCUACCAUAAUCUCUUCGGUUGUUCUCCGCUAUUAGUGACUUUGGAGUGACUCUUUGUUGCAUGUUGAGGGAUAGUUAUAUGAUCCAAUUAUGUUAUUAUUGUUGAGAGAACUUGCACUAGUGAAAGUAUGAACCCUAGGCCUUGUUUCCUAGCAUUGCAAUACCGUUUACGCUCACUUUUAUCGCUUGCUACCUUGCUGUUUUUAUAUUUUCAGAUUACAAAUACUCAUGUCUAUCAUCCAUAUUGCACUUGUAUCACCAUCUCUUCGCCGAACUAGUGCACCUAUACAAUUUACCAUUGUAUUGGGUGUGUUGGGGACACAAGAGACUCUUUGUUAUUUGGUUGCAGGGUUGCUUGAGAGAGACCAUCUUCAACCUACGCCUCCCACGGAUUGAUAAACCUUAGGUCAUCCACUUGAGGGAAAUUUGCUACUGUCCUACAAACCUCUGCACUUGGAGGCCCAACAACGUCUACAAGAAGAAGGUUGCGUAGUAGACAUCACUCCGCUGUGCCGUCCCCAAAAGGUUUGAUGGCCCCUUCAAUCGUCAACAACAAUGUUGUCCAAGGGGAAACCUUCCUCCCCGGACAGAUCUUUGUGUUCGGCGGCUUCGCACUGCGGGCCAACUCGCUUGGCCACCUGGAGCAGAUCGACAGCUACGCCCCUGGCCAUCAGGUCAGAUUUGGGAGCUUGAAUUACGUCGCGGACAUCCGUGGAGAUUUGAUCUUCGCCGGAUUCGAGACCGCGGCGACCGCUCCUAGCCACCCCAAUGAACAUGACCUAAAUCUGUCAUCGGGCCGCAUCCAGGAGUUUGCUCAUGUAACUGCUCUGGCCGUAGAUCCGGAGCAUAUCGCGUCGUCCAAGGACGGGAGGCUCAACCCCACCGCGGAGGCCGCAGAUUCCACGGCGUUGGAGCCGAACAUAGACCUAAAGUCAGACGACGUCUUUGUCACCGGAACUCCGGACUCGUCUCUGGUCGUAAAUUCCGAGCCAUGUGCACCCGCGGACGCCGAACUGGAUCGCUUAUCGAUCUUUGAGCUUAGCGCCGCAGACAUCUUCCAGCAUUCGCCCUUGGGCGAUGUGCUAAAUUCAUUAAGAAAUCUGUCCUUGGCAAGGGACUCACAGCCAAAUUAUGUCCGGUUCGAGCUGGAGGCUGAUGAUGGGGGAGAAUUUCGCCUCCCACCCACCACCCACUUCAUAGCCACUGUCGAAGACUUAACCGACAUGCUUGACUAUGACUCCGAAGACAUCGACGGUAUGGACGACGAUGCCGGAGACGAGGAGGCCCAAAACCCGCCGUCACCGGACGAUGGACGACCACUUCCUCAUAUGACGUCUACAUGGUAGAUACGCCAAAAAAUAAUAGCGGCGAUGACAAGGAAAACCCAGCAAAGGAGGACCCUCCUAAAACACAACCAAAGCGCCGGCGUCAGCGGUGCCGCUCUAAAACCCGCCGCAGCAGAGAUAGCAACACCGGCACAGGAGACGACAAUACUCCGGAUGGUGCCAAAGACACAGAAGAACCCGAUGAACAAACUGCCGAACGAGACAAUCGGGAAUUAGGGCAUGCCAGCCCUAACGAACAGGCCAUAGAAGAAGACUCGGAGGACGGUAGUUACCGUCCGCCCUCCGAGGAGGAGGUGAGCCUCGGCAACGAAGACUUCAUCGUGCUUGAGGAGCCCCUGGAGCAGGAGCGCUUUAAGCUUCAGCUAAUAGCCACUGCGAGGAGCCUGAAAAAGAAGCAUCAGCAGCUUCAAGCUGAUCAAGACCUGCUCAAUGACAGAUCGACCGAUGUCCUGGCAGCCGAGGAAUACGGCCUUAAAUGCCCAGCCAAAAGUUACCCGAAGCGCAGAUUACUACCUCAGUUCGACGAUGAGGCGCCAGAUCCCGCACCAGCAUCAUGCAACGCGGCUGAUCGACCACUGCGCGGUCGGGAUAAAACUGCAACCCGAGCUGAAAACCAUACUGUCCCACCCCGCUGUAAAGGCAGGGAUAAGACAGCUCGGGGCCAUACAUAUGACCUCCGCCAAGACCUGGACAGUAGAGCGGAACAUACAAGAUCGAACUACGGAUCGCGAGGACGUGCCUUAACACGCGAGGACAGCUAUCUAUUUGGGCGUGACAAACCUAGUCACGCCCGAGCCGAAAACCACAGACGGAGUCCAUCAGAGCUACGUCGCGAUGCGGCCCGAUAUAGAGGUGCCGCACACCCUCUUUGCUUCACUGACGAAGAAAUGUACCACGAAUUCCCAGAAGGGUUUAAACCUGUAAACAUCGAAUCAUACGAUGGAACAACCGAUCCUGCGGUAUGGAUAGAGGAUUUUAUUCUCCACAUCCACAUGGCCCGCGGGGAUGAUCUUCACGCCAUCAAAUACCUCCCACUAAAAUUUAAAGGGCCAGCCCGACACUGGCUAAACAGUCUGCCCGAUAAUUCUAUUGGCAGCUGGGAGGACCUGGAAGAAGCUUUUCUUGACAACUUCCAAGGUACAUAUGUUCGGCCGCCAGACGCCGAUGACUUAAGUCACAUAGUUCAAUAGCCCGGGGAGUCAGCCAAGAAGUUCUGGACUAGGUUCCUAAUUAAAAAGAACCAGAUCGUUGACUGUCCGGAUGCCGAAGCCUUAGCGGCCUUUAAGCAUAGCAUCCACGAUGAAUGGCUCGCCCGCCACCUCGGCCAAGAAAAGCCAAAAUCUAUGGCAGCCCUCACGGCACUCAUGACCCGCUUUUGCGCGGGUGAGGAUAGUUGGUUGGCUCGCAGCAAAAACACAGCUAGCGAGGCAGGCCCCUAUGAGGUUAAGAACAACAACAGCAAGCUCUGACAUAACAGACACAAACGCCGAAUCAAUGGUGAUAAUACCGACGACACUACAGUCAACGCCAGAUUCAGUGGCUCCAAGUCCAACCAGCGGAAGAAACCAUACAAGAGAAACAAUCAGGGACCAUCCAGCCUGGAUCGCAUACUCGAUCGCCCGUGCCAGAUACAUGGCACCCCGGAAAAACCAGCCAAUCAUACCAACAGAGACUGUUGGGCUUUUAAACAGGCCGGCAAAUUAAAGCCGAGAACAGGGAAAAGGGAUCACAAAGCGAGGACGAUGACGAGGAGCCCCGGCAACCGAACACAGGGGGACAGAAGAAGUUUCCCCCUCAAGUGAAAACAAUAAACAUGAUAUAUGUUACACACAUCCCCAAAAGGGAGCGCAAACGCGCACUAAGGGAUGUCUAUGCGAUAGAGCCAGUCGCCCCAAAAUUCAAUCCAUGGUCGUCAUUCCCGAUCACCUUUGAUCGUCGGGACCACCGACCAGUAUCCGUCAUGGCGGUUCAGCCGCACUAGUCCUCGACCCAAUCAUCGAUGGAUUUCACCUGACACGCGUCCUUAUGGACGGAGGUAGCAGCCUCAACCUGCUUUAUCAGGAUACAGUGCGAAAAAUGGGCAUCAAUCCAUCACGGAUCAAGCCCACAAAGACUACCUUCAAAGGAGUCAUAUUAGGUGUCGAGGCCCGCUGCACGGGCGCAAUCACGCUAGAAGUUGCCUACGGGUCUCCGGACAAUUUCCGAAGCGAGGAAUUAAUCUUCGACAUCGUCCCCUUUCACAGCGGCUAUCACACACUGCUCGGACGAACUGCGUUCGCUCGAUUCAAUGCAGUGCCACACUAUGCCUAUCUUAAGCUCAAGAUGCCCGGUCCACGCGGCGUCAUCACGGUCAACGGAAAUACGGAAGGCUCCCUCCGUACGGAGGAGCACACCGCCGCCCUAGCAGCAGAAGUACAGAAUGGCCUUCUCAAGCAGAACCGUAAUCCGGCUGUUGAACCCCUGGACACCGUUAAGAAGGUCCGGACUACGCUGCAAUAGGACAGCUCGGCUCGUCAAGAGCUCGAUUAGCAAUUUGGCCUCCGUCCUAGCCCCGAUCAGGCAGUGGCAUUUGUACCACGCGUACAUAAUUACGCACUAGAAAUCCCAUGGGCAUCGACGGAGGCACAACUAGCUUGUGGUCCACAGUUCGGCUCGACCGAUCCCAGACACACAUAUACUGUCAAUAUUUCCUUUUUCCCUUUCCAGGUUUAUUUUACAUAGGCCUUCUUCGACGGCCCGACCACCGAUCCUGUCAAAGGAUAAAAACACCAGGAUGGCAAGAAGCACAGACAUAUAGGGGAAGCUCUAGAGGUCAAUUCAAUGACCACUCUACCUGUUGCCAGGACCCACACGCAGCUCGCCCUUGGUCAUGGCAUGUUAAAUAGCCAGAUUGCCUAUUGCACUAUUUGUAUUAAUGCGCAUUGACGCAUUAACCCAAUUAUAAUGGAAAAAAUUCGUGGCUCAAGUUUAAGGGCCCAAGAUAUCACCUCUGCUUUCUUUCUGUUUUCCUUUAAUAACUUAUCCUCUAGCACCCGUACACUUUGGUACGUUUCAUAUUUGCCAGGGGCUCCCAGGCGCCCUACAAUACGGCAACAAAGUCCGAACACUUUUUAUAGUAUAGUUCGGCACCCCGAAUUUAGCAUUAUAUGCAUUGGAUCCGAAUCGUGUCUUUGGUCAAUAGUUGGGUUGCCCAGCUCCUGUGCUUGCUACCUUACAUUUCGCUAUAUCGACUAAGGUAGUAAAGGGAGAACUACUGCGAUUGUGCCCUGGUUUAUCCAAAGGAGCGCCUUAGUAGAGAAAGCCGAAAACUGACUGUCAUGAUGCGGCGAGAGCCGGUCAACAGUUCGGAGGUUACAAAUCGUUGGAGAUUUCUUCCGCGUUGCGCGAAGGAUCGGCACUUCCCGAUCAGACGCUUAUAGCACUCUAGUUCGGAAACUAGGGGAUGCGUCAAUGUUUUUAUUGUCGAACUCCAAUGGCUAAGUGAGGGAGUUAAAGCCGAAUAGUCUGGUUGCCUGGUUCGUUGCGCUAAACAACUCCUUCAAGGACCAUAUAAUUGGAUCAAGAUUGUUUAGAUUCCAUCUCGAACACCUCCAUACUACCUACGUGGGGGCAGAAGCCGACGACUGGCCAACCCUCAGAUUUCAUAUAAACACGGCCGCACAGGAGGUAAAAUUAAAAACAUAACAAUCACUAUAUUACAAACCCACUUUGUUUCACCAUACAAGGCAAAGAACACGAAUGUAUUCAUUCAAAAAUAAUGUCCUGCCCACACUGCGCUGCUACAAUGCGAGACUCCUCCAGGACAUCCGCGAAAUAGCACUCAGGUAUGCGGUGCUCCUUGCCCUCGGGUGGCCCCCGGGCCAGCUCGACGGCGUUCAUCUUCGCCCACCACAUUUUGCAACGGGCAAAGGCCAUAUGAGCACCCUCAAUACAGGCCGAUCGCUUCACGAUAUCUAGCCAAGGACAGGUGUCCACCAUCCGCCUCACGAGUCCGAAGUAGCUGUCGGGCAUAGCUUCGGCUGGCCAUAGCUGGAUUAUCAAAUCCUUCAUGCCUAGUUCGGCCACCCUAUGCAGCUCCACCAGUUGUUUCAGCUGAUCGGUGAAGGGCACAGGAUGCUCUGGCGCAAGAUAUUGCGACCAGAAUAGCUUCUUCGUGGAGCUCCCUUCUUCGGCUCGGAUGACCUCCGCGGCGUCGGACACACUUCGUGGAAAAUCAGCAAAAGCCCCUGGAGAACUCUGAAAUCUGGGUUAGUAAAAGAUACUUCCUCCUCGCAUAUUUGCUUUGCAUACUGAAUGCCUUACCCGCAGCAAUCUUCCUCGCCUCCUGGACCUCUUGGAGGGCGCCCUGGGCCUUGUUCCGGUCCGUCUCCGUGCUCUGCUGAGCCUUGGAGAGUUCAGCCUCUUUAGCCAACACGUCAUGCUCUAGGGUCUCACACUUCUUCACCGCGUCGUGGAGCUCUUGUUGUACCUCGUUGACCCGGGCCUUGAGCUUCUUACGGGCAGCCUGCUCCUUGACGGCCUUCCCCUCGGCUUCGCCCAGGGCCUUUUUCAGGGUCUCGACCUCGGUCGUUGCUCCUAUUUAUAUCAAGACACUCCAGUCAAUAUAUAACAUCCUGCUCUUUCCGAAUACUUCUUGGGUUACUACAUACCUUGAUUCUCCUGGAGCUGCCUCUUCACCCGGCCGAGCUCCUCCUGCUCCAGCCUCCGCUUAAGUUCGGAGACUUCGGCAGCACGUAAGGCCGCAGCCAGCAGCGACGCCUGCAUAUUCAUUCCAGACAAAUUUAGGCAGUUCCCUGCAAUAAAGGAAUGAUCCUCUGUCCGGCUUUUCUUUCCGAACACCGGACAGUGUCUCAGGGGCUACUGUCUAUAUGGGGAUUUUCUCUUUUUGUGUCGCUUACCUCAAAACCUUUCAGCAGGUUGCUGCAGGCUUCGGUCAGUCCGCUCUUGGCAGACUGAACCCUUUCAAUCACCGUGCCCAUAAGAACACGAUGCUCAUCCACAAUGGAAGCGCCUCGCAGCACUUCCAGCAGAUCAUCUGGUGCCCCUGGUUGGACAGGGGUCACCGGUGGAAUAGGCAUACCCCCUUCUUUCGAAGGAGGUUACGUGCCGGAUUCCGGAGCCGUAUCGGUCUCCGGAAUCAAGUCCGGUUGAGGGCCGAACUGAGUACGGCCCUCCUCCCCAGUCUCCUGGGGGAUUGGUUCCCCCUGGUGUUCGGUGACGGGGGCUUCGCCUUCGGGCGCUUCUCGAGCCUCUCCCCGGCCUGGGAAGGCCCGUUGGGAGAGUACCUCAUCGUCCCCUUUGGCCUUGGGAGAGUAAGCGGCUGGCGGUGUCUCGCUAACCAUCUCCUGUGGGUCCAAUGAACCUCUUGAUGAGGAUCGCUGGGAACUGUCGUGGGCCGGAGUGCAACAGCAUAAGCAGCCAUGUCAAUACAUUGAAAUGGAUAGGCUGGACAUAUGGGUGUGUGGGAGUCAUAGCACUUACGGAGCAGCUUGAGGCUUGGUGCGGGGGUGUCGCUCCGGACUACUGUUGACGUCCCAUGCGGAUUUCUCCGCGAAGGAGCCCUUCCCCUUCUUGGACGUCCCCGCCUCCAGGCUCGCGGAGGCCGCCCUCUUCUUCCUUCCCCCAUCAGGGGGAGGGUUGUUCUCCUCAUCGUCAUCAUCUUCGGCGGUGGAGGAGCGGGUCUUGUCUUCGGACGUCGCGUCCGAAGCACUCUUGCGACGGGGGCCAGUCCGGACCCCCUUGGCCUUCUUCGCCGGCGCUGUAUAGGGCGCCUGCACCAGCAUCUUCGCUAAACGCGGAAUGACUAGUUCUUCAGGUAGCAGAGCCGGACACUGGAUCCGCUUCGCCCUCUCCAUCCAUUCCUGAAGAGGCAAUGAUAGUAAAAGUUCAGAUAUCCUCCUUGAAGCAAAUAAGUAGAGGACACGAUAGAAACUUACCUCACUGGCAGGAUGGUUAAUGUCGUGCCCACGAUCCGAAUCCGUGGCUGGCGGUAUCUCGUCGCCCUUGAAGAGCAACUUCCAGGCAUCUUUGUGAGUCGUUCCGAAGAGCCUCUCCAGGGUUUGGUGCCUCCUCGGAUUAAACUCCCAAAGGGGGCGUUUUCGGCUUUGGUAAGGGAGUAUCCGGCGAACAAGCAUCACUUGGAUUACAUCAACAAGUUUGACAUUCUUGUCCACCAUGCUUUGAACGCGUGUCUGCAGCGCUAUCAGCUCGUCUGGCGAACACCAGUUCGGGCUCUUCUCGACCCAGGAGGUGAGUCGCAUGGGAGCGUCGGAGUUAAAUUCGGCAGCCGCGGCCCAGUUUGUGCCGCGGGGUUCUGUGAUGUAGAACCAUUGUUUUGCCAUUCCUUGAUAGUCUCCACGAACGUGCCUUUUGGCCAGGAGACAUUGGCCAGCUUACUCACCAUGGCUCCUCCGCACUCCGCGUACUGGCCGUCCACUACCUUUGGCUUUACGUUGAACACAUUGAGCCACAGCCCGAAGUGGGGUUGGAUGCGGUGGAAGGCCUCACACACGACGAUGAACGCCGAGAUGUUGAGGAAAGAGUUCGGGGAUAGAUCAUGGAAGUCUAUCCCGUAAUAAUACAUCAUCCCGCGGACGAAAGGGUGGAGUGGAAACCCUAGCCCGCGGAGGAAAUGAGGGAUGAAUGCCACCCUCUCGUUCGGCUUCGGCGUGGGGACGACUUGCCCCUGGGCUGGAAGACGGUGGGCGAUUUCCUUCGCCAAAUACCCGGCCGCCCGAAGCUCGGCAAUGUCUUUCUCCUUGACGGAGGAGACCAUCCAUUUGCCUUGACCUCCGGAUCCGGACAUGGUCGGAUGCUUUUCGGAGAUGGAGAAAGAUGGGGACUUGGGCGCUGGAGCUCAAGGAUGGAAGGGCAGAGGAAGGGGAAGGUGUGAGUAGAUAAGGGCGAAUUCUUAUCCCCUUAUAAAGGGUCGCGAACAUCAAGCACCUCCUCACUCGCCUUAAAACUCGCCUAUUCCCAAGGGAUGUGUAAACAGCACGAUUGGGUUACCCAUACCCGCAUUGAUGAGAAUCACGCAAUAAGGGGACACGAUCUCUGCUUCAACAAGACGUGCCAAUGGCAACCGCGUCUCGAAACGUGGAACGGCAGAACAAAACGGUCCAAAAUUAUGACCGGGCGGACGUGAUGUCACGUUGUAAAAAGUUGUCAGUGGAUUGGACUCGCGAAGUAUUAUAUUCUCUCUACGGUUGUGUGUGGUGUGUGACAGGUCCGGAUACAAUCAUCGCGCCCGGAGACUACCUUGGAGUUCGGAAAGAAGGGAACCCGCCUUGCAAUGCCGAAGACAAAUCUGCGCGCCGGACUCCUCGUCAUUGAAGCCAGGUUCAGGGGCUACUGAGGGAGUCCUGGACUAAGGGGUCCUCGGGCGUCCGGCCUGUUAGCCAUGGGCCGGACUGAUGGGCUGUGAAGAUACGAAGACCGAAGACUGCACCGUGUCUGGAUGGGACUCUCCUUGGCAUGGAAGGCAAGCUUGGCGACCGAAUAUGUAGAUUCCUUUCUUUGUAACCGACCCUGUGUAACCCUAGAUCCUCCCGGUGUCUAUAUAAACCGGAGGACUUAGUCCGGAAAGGGAGACUCAUUACCAUAGUCACACAGGCUAGACUUCUAGGGUUUAGCCAUCACGAUCUCGUGGUAGAUCAACUCUUGUAAUAGUCAUAUUCAUCAAGAUCAAUCAAGCAGGAAGUAGGGUAUUACCUCCAUAGAGAGGGCCCGAACCUAGGUAAACAUCGUGUCCCCUGUCUCCUGUUACCAUCGACCUUAGACGCACAGUUCGGGACCCCCUACCCGAGAUCCGCCGGUUUUGACACCGACAGCAGGGGCACUACAUGUCUGAUUGUCCAAAUCUCAAAGAUUAUGGUGAAAAUGGUGGUGGCAAGAACAACUACAGCAAGAAGGAGUCGUUCUCUCGUCAUGAAACCAAGUUCCGGCCAAAGGCUGAGAAGCAUCUUCAAAAGAUGGUUGCUGCAAUCGCUUCGGGUCUACAAUCUGCAGUAGAUUUAAGCGACAUCGACUUUGACCAGAGUGAUGAGGAUGAUCCUCCUUCUCCCAAAGGGAAGGAUACAAAGAAAAAGGCGGCUGGUCGGCUCACCGACAUGUGUUUAUGGCUCAUGAGGCUGAUAAGGAGGACGACAACACGGAUGAGGUACAAAUGUCUUAUGAUGAAUUAUAUGAUGAGUAUGUGAAAGUUGAAAAUCUGUUUUUAACGCAAGCAAAAGUCCUUAAAAAAUGCACGCGCACCAUAAAUGAUAAUCUUGCUCAAAUUGAUUCUCUCACACUAGAAAUUACUACACUGAAGGAUGCUACUGCUCGUGUUCGUGCUCUUAGGGGCAUGCAACGACAGGCUCGUGCGCUGCAUGUUUCUAACACACAUGGUCGGAGUGAGUACUUGCAUGGUUCGGGUAGGAGAGACUAUUUUAAAUCCAACGAGACCGCUUCCAGAGCCCGAUUUACUAGGGGUAGAGGUCAACAAAGUUGUAGGUAUCAAGAUGGCCUUGCAUUGCAUUCUAAUAACACAUGUAUUUCUACUCCUGCAAAGGGAGUGACCCAGUACUGGAUUAAAAAAUGUUUACUUACUAAUCCCAGUACUGAGUCGCUUCGUUGUCGCUCUUUUGUGUAGGUUGGUUGUGAGGGUUUGGCAAACAAGUGGCUUAUUGACUCUAGGUGUUCACGCCACAUGAAUGGUGAUACCAAAUGGUUCGCCUCCCUCUAUAAAGCGUCUGGUGAUGAAAAGAUCACUUUUGGGAAUGAUGCACACGGUUGUAUUGUGGCCAAAGGAAUAGUGCGAGUCAACGAGAACUGUCUUCUGAAGGAUGUAGACCUUGUAAGUAAGUUGAGUUAUAAUUUGAUUUCAGUUUCACAGCUUCUUGAUGAGGGUUUUGAGGUUCGUUUCAAGAAAUCUGCUUCUCGUGUUCUUGACUCUACUGGUGAUCUUGUUUUUGGUAUUUCUCGUGUUGGUAAAAUCUUUGGUGCUGAUUUUGGAGUGCUUUUGUCCUCUGGUCCAUGGUGUUUUGUGGCCUCUUCUAAGAUGAGUGAGUUUCAGUUGUGGCAUCGUCGCUUGGGGCAUGUUGGUUUUGACCACCUGAUUCGAAUUGGCGGCCUUGAUCUUUUCCGAGGUUUUCCUAAGCUCAAAGCCACAAAGGACAUUGUGUGUGCCCCAUGCCGGCAUGGAAAGCAAGUCUCUACUUUUUACCCUCCAAUCAAUCUGGUGAACACAACCAGACCCGCUCAAUUGUUACAUAUGGACACAGUUGGUCCAGCUCGGGUCCGGUCAGCUGGUGGGAAGUAGUACGUGCUUGUCAUCGUAGAUGAUUGUUCUCGAUACUCUUGGGUUUAUGGAGCAUAAAUCUGAAGCAUUCAAUCAUUUUCAUGAUUUGGCUUUAAGGCUAUUCAAUGUAUUUCCUGGUGAGAUGAAAACUAUUCGUAGUGAUAAUGGUUUGGAGUUCAAAAAUUCUUCCUUUGCUGAUUUCCUUGCCGAGAGAGGAAUUGAGCACCAAUUUUCGUCUCCUCGCACGCCUCAACAAAAUGGUGUUGUGGAAAGGAAAAUAGAACUCUUGUGGAGAUGGCAAGGACCAUGCUCGAUGAAUUUGGCACACCACGACGUUAUUGGGCUGAAGCCAUUAGUACAGCUUUCUAUGUGUCAAAUCGUGUUUUUCUUCGGAGUUCUUUGAAAGUGACCUCUUAUGAAUUGAGAUUUGGUAGAAAGCCCAAUAUUUCUCAUUUAAGGGUGUUUCGUUGCAAGUGUUUUAUCCUAAAGAAGGGCCUUCUUGACAAGUUUGAGUCGCGUACUUCUGAUGGUAUCUUUCUUGGUUACCCUGCUCACAUGAAGGGCUAUCACGUUUUAAAUUUAGAAUCUAACCUUGUGGUAGAGACUAGCGAUGUAAAUUUUGAUGAGGCUAGCCCAGCUAGACCUGAGUUUUCAGGUACAGCACCAGUUUCAGAAACCUUAUUCGUGGAAGAAGAUAAUGAGGAUGGUGUGGGACAAGCCCCCAUAUCUCUUGCACCAGCCACAGAACCUGCUGCCGCUUCUGUUCCAGUAGGAGAUGGUCCAGUACCUAGUACUUCGUCUACAACGUCCGUACCCUCGACAUCGAUGGCUCCUGAUCCUACCUCCACUUCAGCUAAGGCAGAGGCUACCAUGACUACUUCCUCACCUGCUUCUGACGUCCUUCAGGGAUCUCUACGUGCUCACCCACCAGAACUGAUCAUCGGCAACAUCUCUGAGCGUACUUUCUGCUCCAGGUCCACUCAUUUCUCUGACUUUGCACAUACUGCAUUUGUUGCAUCUUUUCAGCCCUGAGAUGUUAGCCAUGCGUUAGAAGAUGAAAACUGGAUUAGGGCAAUGCAUGACGAGUUAGAAAACUUUGAGAAGAACAAGGUUUGGCAAAUUGUAAAACCCCCAUUUGACCAGAGUAUAAAUGUCAUUGGAAACAAGUGGGUUUUCAAAAAUAAAUAGGGAGCCAAGUUGUUCGCAACAAGGCUCGCCUAGUUGCUCAAGGUUAUUCUCAAAUUCAUGGUUUUGAUUUUGACGAGACCUUUGCACCUGUUGCACGGUUGGAGGCGAUACUUAUUUUACUUGCUUACUCUGCUUCCAAGGGUUUUAAGUUAUUUCAAAUGGAUGUCAAAAGUGCAUUUCUAAAUGGUUUCAUCGAUGAAGAAGUUAUGUAAAACAGCCCCCCCUGGUUUUGAAAAUGACAAGCUCCCUAACCAUGUCUAUAAAUUGCAGAAAGCUCUUUAUGGUCUUAAGCAAGCCCCUAGAGCUUGGUAUGAUAGACUCAAAGGGUUUUUAAUCAAGAAAGGUUUUAAAAUGGGUGAAGUUGAUAGGACCUUGUUCACUCUUAGGCAUCAUAAUGAACUACUCUUAGUGCAAAUUUACGUAGAUGAUAUCAUCUUUGGUGGCUCGUCUAAUGCUCUUUGUGCUAAAUUUUCCAAAGACAUGAGUGAUGAAUUUGAGAUGUCCAUGAUGGGUGAGCUUUCCUUCUUUCUUGGACAUGUUAAAGAAGUUUGGGAUGAGAGAUUCCAAGCCACUCCAUACCCCAAUGUCCACUGCCACAAUACUUGAUGUAGAUGAAAAUGGUGAGGUGGUGGACUAGCAAGAAUAUAGAAGCAUGAUUGGCUCACUACUGUACUUGACCGCAACGAGGCCAGACAUACAAUUUGCGGUGUGCCUGUGUGCUCGUUUUCAGGCUUCCCCAAGAGACUCCCACAAGCAAGCCGUCAAACGCAUUUUAAGGUACCUCCAAGGAACACCUGAUUUUGGCCUAUGGUUUUCUAGUUCUUCUGGUUUAGGAGUUAGGGGGUUUGCAGAUUCAGACUUUGGUGGGUGUAGAAUAGACCGCAAGAGCACUUCUGGCACUUGUCACUUUCUAGGUACUUCCCUUAUUUCUUGGUCUUCUACUAAGCAAUCUAGUGUAGCACAGAGCACAGCCGAGGCAGAGUAUGUAGCAGCUGCGAGCAGUUGUAGUCAGAUUCUUUGGAUCUCAUCUACUUUACAGGACUUUGGGAUUUUCAUUUCUUCUGUUCCACUUUUCUGCGAUAACACUAGUGCGAUAAGUAUUGCUAAGAAUCCAGUCCAACACUCUAGAACUAAACACAUUGAACCGCGCUACCACUUCAUAAGAGACCAUGUGGAGAAAGGUGAUAUCGAGCUCCUGUAUGUUGAUACCGAGCAUCAGCUUGCCGAUACUUUUACCAAACCUUUGGAUGUUAGUCAUUUUGCUUCUUUGUGGGGAGAUUUGGGGGUCAUUGGCCCCUAUGGGAUCUUGUGAAGGGGGAGGUUGCGUUUUUCUUUGUUCAUAUUUAUCAUAUUGCGCCUUGCAUCAUAUGUGAGAUACCUUUGAGCUUUGAUGAUUCUUUUGUUGAAGAAAUGUUCAUAAUGAAGUUGCUCUUGGCCAUGUUAUGCUUAUUGUCUAGAUCAUCCUGUCAUGGUUUGCCAUAUAUGGAUAACCCUUUGCAUGCUAGUUUUAAUUGGAAAUGAAGUUAAACUAAAUAAACAUGUUGACCAUAUGAUGAGUUCUAUGUUAGUUGAUCACCUUGACUUGAGAAUCUACUUGUGCUUUGUGUUGCAACUCUGAUCUAUGUUGUGGCUAGCUAGUUUGGACUCCAUUUGAUAUCACACCUGGAACCACUAGAGACUUGUUUUGCUUAGAACUAUGUGGCUUAGGUCGGAUAUGGUUUCUUGUCUUGUCAAGUCCCUAGUCUCGCUUUCAUGAGUUACUUUUUAUCUGCAUUUUUUUGUGAAGAAUCACUCAAGAUACCUGCUCGCGCAGGAGAUGGUAUUUUGCUUGUGCCUAUUCCAUAAUUUCUUAAUCAGCCCACUCAAGGUACCUGCUCCUGCAGGAGGUGGUACUUUGCUUGUGACUUAACAUAAAAUCAAAAUCAAAUCACUCAAGGUACCUGCUCGUGCAGGAGGUGGUACUUUGCUUGUGCCUUUUCAUAAAAUCAAAAUAAAAUCACUCAAGGUACCUGCUCGUGCAGGAGGUGGUACUUUGCUUGUGCCUUUUCAUAAUAUUUCUAAGUGCAUCAUUUUGUGUUGACUUAAUGACUCAAGGUGCCUGCUCGUGCAGGAGGUGUCACUUUGCUUGUGAGAUGGUCAGCACAGCAAGAAGGUUCCAUUCUUGAUCGGGUGUGCCUCCUAGGCAUUGCUUAGCGCUAGGUUGCAAUGCCCUGCAAUGUUUAGUCUCGUUUCCAUGUGUUUGCCUACAUAAGAACUCAUCACGUGUGAAAAUGGAAGUUACUAAGAACUUGAAUGCUUUGCUGCAUCUAGCUCAAGGAUUUUCUCUAUAUGUCUUAGUAUGACUGGAUGAGCUCUUACUUAUCAUGGCCUAGUAGCAUUUCUAUCUCAUGCGCUUCAACUGAAAAAUCUUCAAUGCUCGUACCAUUGCAUAAAUUCCACUUCAUGCAUACAUGCUCGAUGUUGAUGUUUUCUCAUAUGCAUAAGUUGAGGGGGAGGCGGGCGUGUCCCUUGAUGCUUAUAGUGCCAAAGGGGGAGAAAUAGAACAGUGAAUAUUGCACCAAGUAAUUUUGUUGCAAGUUGAGGGGGAGUCAGGGGGUCAUCCAUAUUAUUUGUUAUUUUGCUUUGGUUCCUUCUCUUGUGAACUUGUGAAAACAAAGUUGAUUUGCCUCUCAUGAGUUUUUGUUGGAAGUGAAGCUUAAUUUGGAUCUUGGUGUUAGCUUCACUCUUUUCACUUCUCUUUUCACCUUGUCCACUUGGUCAAGUCUACAUUUUUUUCUCCUUUGGGACCAAGUGUGAUUUUGGCUUCACUCUUUUCACCUUGUCCACUUGGUCAUGUCUACAUUUUUUCUCCUUUGGGACCAAGUGUGAUUUUGCAACUUUCCUUCUCUGUUACAUCUGAAACUCUAAAUUUUCUUGCUGAGAGCUGGGUUGGCAAUAUAAACAUGAAGGGGGAGAUUGUGAGUGAGUUAAUGUGGUGAUAUCCUUAAUUUUGUGAUGAUUAUAUUGCCAAUGCUUUUACUCUCGUCGAGAGUUAUUUUAGUGGGGUUGCAAAUCCCAGUUUGUUAGAUCAAGGACCUGAUCUAUUUUAUGUGACUUAUCUAGAUGGCGUUGCUUGUAUUAAACUGUUAAUUUGGAUUAACUUGGGUCAAGCUCAGGAAGUUUGUGCUCGCAAUAGUUGCUUGUUUCCAUUGUGUGCAGGUUCCAGUGAGUGCGGCGGUAGUCGACAUUGAGGAUGGUUGGCAUAAGGCGUGAAGAGCUAAGAUGUGACCAUGGACGUUGUGCGGGAUCGUGCGGCUCAAAGCAACGCACAAGUUUUGGACAAGGACCAUAUGGAGGCAAACGAGAAGACCAUGUCAAGUGAAGGUUAUUUUGGUAUAUUUACCAAAAUCCACUAAGAAGCAAACCAAGAGAGUGAUUGUGGUGUUGCUUAAGAGUGGAAAAUGUUAUUUACAAGUAGCCAAGUAAAAAUGGCUGUUUGUUUAGUGUUUUGGGCAUGGCCCAUUCGGUGGGUGCCCUGGCCCAUUCGAUGGCGGUGGAAGGCUGCUCCAGGCAUAUAUGUGAGCUGCUAGGUUUUCCCUUGCGGCAGCUGCCGACGAGCAGAGACACAGAGCAGCCGCCGCACAUUUGAGAGAGAGCUUCCCGUAUGGGAUUUGGCUUGUAUGAGAGAGACUUGUACCUCCAGAAAUCUGAGAAAUAAAACCUCAAAUUAUUCCCAAUCUUGCUAUUGUUGAGGUCUGCUGUUUGUCGUUGCAAAUCUCGUUUUUCUGUUGUACUAAUUUUGUCCCUGCGAUUCCUUGGCUAUAAUGGGGUUUCCGUGAUGGAAAAUCAUGUCUAAAUUCAUAUGCAUCCAUCCCUAGCCUUAAAUCCGGUUGUUGUUCAAUUUAUUCAUGGGUUCCUGAGGAUGGCGCAAGAUUUUAUCUUUGGUGAUUUAUUUUGUGCGAGUUCAUACUGAGUUCUUCCUCUGUUCUGGUUUCGAUUUGGGGUCGCUUUAUUUCUAGCAAAUUUCUUGGCGUUCUGUGUCGAACGGAAGAGCAUCCGCUGAUGCUACUGGCUCGCUCCCUUUUAUAUUUCUGCUUGGUGUAAUUGUCUCGGGUUUCAGUUCAUCUUCAGCUAUCUAUCGUUC